rnacentral:lncRNA from 1 species
AUAUAGUUGGUUUUAUAUUAAUUGGCUCGGAAUGGGACCUUUGGAUCUAACAUAUUAUAAAUCAAAUUGACUAGCUCAAAGUUGUAAAUUGUGGGAAAUAUUUAUGUAAAUACUUUCCUCGAAACCACUGUGAAGUUCUUCUGUUUGUGAACUUUUCCAAACCAUCAAUAUAUAUGUGGUUUAUAGCUGAAGUCAGCAAGUGAUAUAACCCAUAUUAUUUCACCUAUGAUUCAGAGCAAUUGUUUAAUUUUGUUAAAGAGCAAUUUUUUAAUUUUUAUAUUGAUAAUAAUACUCUUGCGUAAACAAUAAAAAGCAAUUAACGACUUAAUCAGAAAGACUACUAGACAAAAUAAAAUAAAAUCAGAGAGACGUAAUCAUAGAUAGUGUAUGCCAAAUUGAAGAAUUAGGGCGGUGUAUUGGAACAAGAAUUUCUAUCAAUAUUAUACCUUAAUUAUAUUUAUAAUAUAUUCAUUUAAAACUUCUCCAAAACAUAAGAAAAUGUUUUACUUUAUCGAAUCUGACAAGUAAUCAUAGACUCAUAGUGGUCAGAAGAUUUCUUUCUGAGAGACUCUUGCAGCCGUUGACUUACCAAUUUAGAAGCAAAUGAAUUUCAGUUUGAGAUAUAAAAUAGAAGAUUAAAAGUUGUACAUCAUUGUAAUCCGUAUAUUGUUAUGCUGUUGCGAAUGUGAGCAUAUCCCUUAAUCACACACACAAAAAUCAAAUGGUAUCAGAGAAGACAUCUUAUGCUACAACAAGUUAGUGAGAUCUAGGAGAUCAUAGAGACAUCUACAAAGCUACCCAAUGUUCAUAACAAAAGUCCUUGUCCAAACUAUGUUUUAAAGUGUUAACUUAAAGAACACAACAUGAUUAUAACUUAAAGAACAUAACAUGAAAAUGGGGCAUUUGCAUCAGAUGUGAAAUGAUAAUUAACGGUGGUGUUUAUAACAAUGACAUGGUUUUUUUUUGUUUUUUUUUUUUUGUUGUUGGUAAAAUAUGAAGUAUUUAUAACAUUUUCGAAGUUUUGACAGAAAUUACAAGGAAUACAAGUAGCGGAAAAUAACCAAAAACUACAGAAUAAACAGAUAAUAACAAACAACAAAGAAAUAUAAUGAGAACCUAGAGCGGAAACGAGAGAAAACAAUGACAUGGUUGAUAAUGAUGGCGAAUCAAAAGGCUCAAAAGAUGAAUAUUACAAACAAGUGAAACAGAAACAAGAAGCUAAACGAGUUGCCAAAGCAGAGAUCUAUUCAAGGUAAUCUACAUAUACAUUUUUACAGGGGAUUUUUGCAAAAAGUCUUUUGGAUCCGGGUUUUAUCCGGGAUUAACUAUAUUCGGAUCUAGGAUAAGAGUUUUAAGGAAUGUUGUAAUAAAAAACGUCAUUAAUUCUUAAAUUCUAUUUAAACUCUAUUUCCUUAACUUCUUCCCACAUUAAUUGGUUCUUUUUUUCUAUAAUCUCUAUUCGGACAUUUUUUCUCUCAAUUAAUUACUCCCAACGACACAAUCUCUAAAACAUCUCAACAAUCCUCAUUUCAUUUCUAUUUAAGUUAAUAUUUUGAAAUCAAAAACGAUUAUUUUAUUAUAGGCCGACGAUAUUCAAUUCGAUAUCUUAAGAAUAUAUCGAUCGGAUCUUCCAUUAAUUAUUUCUCUAAACAACAAACUGAAUUUAAUACAUUUUUAUCGAAAUUAUAGGAAUAUUAGUCACUUGCUAUAAAUACAUUUAAAAAAAACAUUUAAUGCUGAAAUAUUUCAAUGAAAUAUCUACACAGAGAUUUACGGCAAUAUUCCCUAAGAUUACGAUAACAAAUUUGAGACAUUAAUGCUAUCAGAAAACAAUGAAAUGGAAAUCAAAGAUUGAACUCAUUCACCAUUAGCAUUCAUUGUUUUUAUUUGAUUUUUUUUUAAAAAUAUUGUCCUUAGAAAUCGUUGACAAAUAUUCAUACCGACUGAAUUAAGGAAAUUAUUUACUACUAUACAAAAUCGGAAUUAAAGCAUAUUCCUAAAAAAAAUCCGAUUAGAAUGAUUUGAUUAAAAAGAUUAAAGCAUGAAUAUUUACCUUGGCCACCACUACUUUCGUAACCUAAUCUUCCACGCCUAUAUAAACUCUUUAGCUUCACUUCUCAUCCCACCAUCAAACACACAAAGCCUUUUUAUUCUUCUACCGAAAUCGCAACAUCAAACACACAAAGCCUUCUGUAUCGCCAGGUAGCUAUCAACGUGGUGCUUUCUCUCUUUUUAUUUUAUUGAUUUUUUUCGUAGAAUGUUAAUUGUUUUUUUUUUAAAUUGUUCCUCCCAGGGCAUGGAGUAUUGAUAUUGGUUAGGGGUAUAUGCUUCUUCCUCGGCCUCAGAUUCAUUGUGCCCACCGCCACUGCGCGUGUUCUUCACCUGCAUUUAUAUUUCCAUUAUUCAGAUAUUAAUUACCAAUAAUGUAUUAGAUUGUGAAAAUAGUCUAAUUAUAUUAUUAAUCUGGGUUUGCAUGUGAAACGCUUUGUUAUUUUUCUCUUUAGAGGAUGAUGGUAAGCUAGGCUUAUUCUCUUUUAAAAUCUCAGUUUCCGUUUUUAGUAUAUAAUGUUAUAUUUUCAUUUUUAGUGUUUGGAUUCAGGAAUUGGAAAUUUUCGCUUUAUUACCGACCAGCCUCAAGCCCGACCUUCGUCCCAUUUGUGCAUUCAAACUCACACAUGAAGAUAAUUGGAAUUGAGAAGGAAGGACGACGAGCAGUUUGAUAGCAUCAUAAUUCGCACAAUGAUUUCCGGAGCAUAAGGACAAGAGGGUAAAGCAGUUCUAAGGUUGGUCUUUGAUCCGCAGGGAAGUCAGUGGAGGAAGAGAUGGUAUACAUGUAAGGGUUAGUGACUGUUUUCAAAUAUGAUGAAGAGAUUUCCUCUGUAUAUUAAAUAUUGUUGUUUCGUUAUAUGUUUUAUGUUUGCAAGAAGAAGAUGUUUGGCUGGAUUAUGUGUACCUGAGGAGAACAUGUGAAAGCCAAUGUUUGCUUUUUUGUUUGUUUGCUCUUUCAAAUAACCGUAUUCUUUCAAUUAAUAUUUGACUUUCAUGCACCAAGAUAUUUGCUCUGACAUGUAAGUAUUUAUUUAUACUCUGCUUUUGGUAUUUGAUGUGUUAAUUUAAGGCUCUUGCUUUAUUCUUAUAGAUCGGAGCUACUAAACACUUUUGAAAAAAAUGAUUUGGAAUUGGUGUAAUCUUUUUAUUGUUCCAUAGAAACGGGCUGAAUUUUUGGUUUGUGAAUUAUUUUACAAAUACUUUUUUUACUUUAAUAAAAAGUUCAAAAAAUCAAAAGAAAAAAAAAUCUAUAAUUUUCAGUUUAAACAAAGAUCCCGUAUCCAUGAAAAUGGGCAGAAUUUUUGGUAUGUGAAUAAUUUUACAAAUCCUUUUAUUUACUUUAAGAAAUAUUUUGUCAUACAUAUGAAUAUAAAUAAUACUACAUUUAACUAUAAGAGCUAAAUUUAUCAAAAAACCAUACACCACCAAUCAGUUUUAUAUACUACGAAAAUCAUAAAUUUAUGAAGAACAAAAUUAAAAAGUCAAAAUUGUCCCACGGGUCAAUAUCUAAAUGUGUAAUCUACAUAUACAUUUUUACAGGGUAUUUUUUGCAUUAAUUCAUUUGGAUCCGGGUUUUACCCGGGUUUAACUCUAUCCGGAUCUUGGAUAAGGAAUUUUAGGAAAUUUUUAAACAAAUCGACUUUAAAACGACCUGAUUUUAUGGCAAUCGGGUAUAAGUAUAACACUAAUACAUUUAUUAAAACGAAAUUAAUUCUUUUAUUAUCCAUAUUUAAGUUACCUAUUUUAAUCCUAAAUAAUCUUUCUUAUUAAUGCUCCUAAUAAAUAGCCAUAUAUUUGGAAAGAUUGCAAUCUUAUAUUUGAAAUUCUUUAGAAACAAAUCGACAAUAAAUUAACUAACUAAACAUCCCUAAUUUUUAGAUUUGAGUUUCAAAGAUAUGGAAAUCAAAUAUUUAAUUUUAAAUACUAUUAAACAUAAUAUCGAGAAUAUCUAGCAAAUAGAAACUACUACAACAAUAAAAUCAAAAUCAAAUCUAAAUUUCUAAUGAUUAUUCCACAUACCUUAUCAUAAAUAAUUAAUACAAUAUAAAUCAUUAAUUCAUUUUUUUAAUUAGGAAAAUUUAAACGUUAGUUUCCAGAAUCUAAUUUGUUUCCGAAAUUAAUGCACAUAAUAAAACAGGGAUUAAUUGUUUACACGAAGAUUCGAUUUAUUUAACAUUUAUUCAGAAACUAAUCUACAUAUACAUUUUUACAGGGUAUUUUUAUAUAAACUCUUUUGGAUCCGGGUUUUACCCAGUUUAAUUAUAUUCGGAUCCUAGAUAAGACAAUUAAGGAAGUUUUUAAUAAAUAAAUAAACGACAUUAUCUCUUUAAUCACUCAUUUAAACUCUUUUCCUUAACUUCUUCCCACAUUAAUAGGUUCUUUUUUUCUAUAAUCUAUAUUCGGAUAUUUUUUCUCUCAACUAAUUACUCCCUAACAUACCUUAAACAAACGACACAAUCUCUAAAAAUAUCUCAACAAUCCUCAUUUCAUCUCUAUUUAAGUUAAUAAUUUGAAAUCAAAAACGAUUUUCACAUAUUUGCCAAAAUUCUAGCCACAAUCUUCCUAAAAAUCUACAUUAUCCUUAUUUCUUCCAAACAAAAAUAUUCAUACCGAGUAAUUUAAAGAAAUUAUUUACUACUAUACAAAAUCGGAAUUGCAGCAUAUUCCUAAAAUAAAUCGAUUACAAAGAUUUGAUUCGAAUUUAGUUAAGGUUGCAAAGAUAUUUUCCUUUGCUACCACGAAUUUCGUAACCUAAUCGUCACACGCCUAUAUAUACUCAUUAGCUUCACCUUUCAUCACACCAUCGAACACACAAAGCAUUUAUGUAUACUGAAUAAUAUGUUGUUUUAGAUUAUUAUGCAAUUUACUCAUAAUCUUUAUUAAUGAGGACAACAUUUUUUUUCCUUGAUGAAAUAUGUAAAGUCAAGAAUGUUAAUAUAUUCAAACCUAACACAAAAAAGAUUCAAACUAUAUCCGCCAUAUAUCGUUACUUAAUGAAUUUAUGUUUUUGUAUCUAUAUUUUAAAAAUUAAAACGUAAAACAUACUAACUGUACACUAUAUAUAAUAUAUAUAUAUAUAUAUAUGUAUAUUUAAAAAAACACAAAAUGAUAGUUUAUAUCUAUUGAUAAUCUUCAAAAAAAUUACAUUUUAAUUUUUUUUUUAUUAUAGUCUCGCGGUAUACCGUGGUAAUGAACUAUAUAAUUUUCUCUAUCUCUAUAUUUUCAAAAAUGAACUUAAAAUAUACUAAUCCUACAAUAUAUAUAGAUAUAUACAUAUCUCUAUAUAUACAUUUAAAUAUAAAAAACAAUAACAUAUAUAUAAAAGAAAGCCUUAAAAUAAAAGAUAUUAAUUUUUUUAUUUAAUAAAAAUAUAGACCCGCGGUGUACCGCGGGUUAACAUCUAGUAAAUAUACAUUACAUUAACCUUUCUUUUUCACAAACUUUGACAAUUUUGGUAGUAUAACGUUGUUCAUCUCAAUGGCACGUUUUGUGUUUCCAAAGCACACAACAAACAUCAUCUGUGUCUCUACCUAGCACCAUAGUUUAACGUUUCUUUUAAUCUCUUUUUUUCUAAUCGCCACCAAAACCUAGAUUAUGAGUAACAGAGGAUUGACCCUGGCAACGCAACAAGGAUCUUAAAAACCCGAGAAAGAAUUACCGGGUAAACGAUCUUGAAUUGCCAGUUUCUAACGUUCGUUUCUUUGACAUGUUAUUUAUUUGCCUUAACUUCUUUUGGGAUCUUGAAUUUUUGUUUGCAGGAUAAGCACGUACGAGAAAAAAGUCAAUAGUUGCAAAGGACAUGUCAGAGAUAUAUAUUAGGAAACAAACGGGUCCAUAUGCAGGAGAAUACCGCGGUAUCAAUCCCAACACAAGCCGGAGCAUCCGAAUCAAGAACUAACCUCCUCUUCCUAUGUCCGUCAAAUUCUCUAUUUGCAUGCUUCUUUUUGCUGUUGUGUUAUCUUCCAUUUUGGAUCUAGUACUAUUUCAUUUUUCUCUUCUUCAACACUAAGCAAAUCCUUAUUUUACAAUUUUUGAUGUUUAUCUUUAAAUCUGUUGUCUUACCUUUGUAUUUUCGAGAAAAUAAAAACUUUUUUUUUUUUUUUAAAACUUCAAGAAGGUAAUCGAAUAUGUUAAAGAGUACAAAAUAGUUGAUGAAUUGUUCAGUCAUAUUGAGAACGAUUCGAUUUUUAUUAAUGGUACUAUUUUUUCAAAAAUGUUUCCACAUGUUGUCCAAUUUCAAUUUUACCCCUUUUCAUAAGGUUUUAUAAAGAUUUUAAAAUGUUUUAGAAAGAUGGUUUGGAGGUCCAACCACCGUAAGCUGCCAUAGAUAUCAAGAUUAUUUUUUGAAAAAAUGUAAAAUAGAAAAUAAACAACAAAUAGGGACAUUUUUGAAAAGAUGUUCCUUAAAAUGAGUAUUUCUCAAAAUUUCUCAAAAGAUUAAUUUCCUACUAUAAGUGAUAAAAGAAAAAGAUUUCCUACUAUAACUAAUAAAAGAAAAAGAUUGCCUACUAUAAGUGAUAAAAGAAAGAUUUCUUACUAUAAGUUAAUAUGGAUUUUAUAUAUCAAUAGAUUUGGAAAUCCUCUUUCACUUUGAAAUUAGACAAAUGGAAGAAAUAACAAGGUUUACCACGAAUUUGAAUCUUUUUUAUUUUACUUUUAAAUCAUUUAAAAUCUAAUGUAGACUUUGAAAUCCAAUAAUAAAUCAUUAAAUGAUAACAUACGAUUUCAACUAGUAUUUAUUAUUUAGAAAUCAGUGAAUGAAUAAUACAUGAUUUUGACAAGAAUUUUAAAAUCAAGGAUCAAAUUAAAUCAAUCAUAAAGAAGUUUUAAAACUAUUACAAUCGGGCCUUUAAUUUUAUACUAGGAUUUAACCCGCGGUAUACCGCGGGGUCAUAUUUUAUUUAUUUACUUAGCAAUAUUAAAUGUGUAUAAAACUUUUAGUAUUAAAAUUAUAUGAUUAAUUAAAAUUUUCAAUAUUUUUAGAUUUAACCCGUAGAAUAUAAUAUUGUAAUAUUUCAAUUAGUCAAUUACACAUUUAGAGGUGUCAAAGGAGGAGACGAAGAUUUUUACAAUAUUUUUGUUUAGUAAGUUAUACGAUCAAUCUUUUGGUGUUUUUACGAUUAACCCGUUAAACAUAUAUAAUUUCAUAAUUUAAUAUUAAAAUAAUUUUUUGUCACGUUUAAAUAUUCUACAAAUCUUUAUAAUUACCAAUCCAUAAUAUAGUUUUAUUCACAAAUCCAAAGCAUGAAAGAAGAAUAUAGAAUUUAAGAAAAUAUCUGAUUUAGAGAUUUGAUUAAAUAAUCUCCAAUCGAGAUUAUUGCAAAGAUUUGAGUAACUAUUUUGUAAGUAUAAAAUAUUUCAUUAAAUAUUUUCACAUCUUAAGAAUUAAAUUCAAUGGCAUGCCACAGUACACCGCAAGACUAUAUUUUCCUAAAAAAAAUCAAAAUAUUAUUUGUUUAAUAGAUUAUUUUGAUUGUUAAUUUGAGGAUUUCACCCGUGUUGUAUAUAUAUACUGAAUUUCUAUAGAGUUUAAAUAUUAUUAAUAUUACAAAACAAAAUUAUAUAAUUUAAAUAUUAUAAAUACUUUAAACGUUUUAUAAAUUUUAAAUAUUUAGAUGGAUAAACUUUUUAUAGAUUUUAAAUAUUUAUAAUAUUUAAAAUUUUUAUAAAGUAAAAAUAUUUAUAAUAUUUGAAACUUCGUAAGAAUUUUAAUAUUAAAAAUAUUAUAAACGUUUAUAAAGUUCAACUAUUUAAAUUUUUUAAAGAAUUAUAAUUUCAGAAAGAAAAGAAAGUCACUAAUAUGUUUAUGACUAAACUUAUAUCAAUUAUUAAGAACUUACUUUUUCAUUGGCCAACACCAAUUCAACAGACUCUCAAGUAUUGAUUUUGUAUUCGUGCACAUGAGUGGUAGAUCUUAAACUCUACUUGUCAAACGGCUUUUGUAAGGACAUAAGUCCGGAAUCCCUUGAAAAGUUAUAAUGUAGCAGCCAUUAUAAUAUGUAAGUUGUUUUUCGCUGGUAAGAGAGGUAAAGUUUUUUUUGAUUGCGUGAUAUUCCUGGAUCUAUUGAGAGGUAAUUUAUAGAGUUACUCGUAAAUAAUAGGGUUUAGGGGUGAUUCGUAAUGGAGAAAAUUUCGGUGAGAAAAUACAAAAUCGCAAAAAUAUAAAAUUUAUGAUUUAAUGCAACGGAUUUAAUAUAAAAAUAACGAAUAUGCCAUAAAUUCACUUUGCUUGUUGUUAUUAGUUUCCAUUUUCUUAUUUUCUACGAUUCUAUAUUUCAUUUUUUAUAGAAAAUAUAGAUGUUGUUUCGAUUUCAUGGUGAUGUAAGCAUUAAUAAAUCUUAUUUGUUAAUUUUAUCAAGAAAAUCCUACUUUAAAGGAACUCGUAUUAUUGAAACUCGAUUUGAUUGGAGUAGAGGGAUUAUCGCAAAUGCUAAUUAGGUAGUAAUUAAGAGAGAUUUGGAAAAAUAUCAUGGAGUUAAUAUGGAGAAAUUUGGGGAAUUAUUGGUUAGUAGCUAAUCAUCUCGUUUUAGUUAAUAAAGAGAGAUUUUGGCAAGUUUGUUAAAUGUAAAAUCUUUAAUUCAAAUAUUUAAUGCUAAUUUUCGAAUUAAAAAAAAUAAAUACCAAUGGCAUUCUUUGUAAAUACUUAGCAACUCUAGGAUUUAUUUGCUAAGUGUACUCCAAAAAUGUAUAUAUAGAUAUAUUUGGGCUUAAUUAUGUUUGGUAUUAGGGUUAGUGUGACACUGUGAGUUAAGGCUAAGUAUAUAUAUGUAUGUAUAGCUGUUCAUAUAUAACAACACACAAAAUCUCUAAAAUCAUUGGUCAAUUCUAACAAAGACAUCAAACAAAAACAAACAUUGCUAGCUAAAGGACAAAUAUGUUUUUCUUUCAUCAUCUUAUUAUACAUCUCAUCAGGUACUUUAGUUGAUUGUUAUAUUUGCUUCCCUCUUUUGUGAAAAAGAUUUAUUUCCAUGUUUCUCUUACAGAAGGUAGUUUCAUGAGAGUCAAUGCACAGGCACCAGUAAGUACUCAUGAAACAACAUUCAAUCUCAUAUGAUGAUUUUUAUAUCAUUUUGAGUUUGCUCUUUGUUGCAGAGUCAAGGGAGUUGGUGUGUGGUUAAGCCUGGCACGCCAAUCCAACAACUGUUAAAGAACAUAAACUAUGUGUGUUCGAAAAUCAAUUGUGAUAUUUUAUCGAACGCAAGUGCAUGUUAUUCUUCACUUAAUCUCUAUAAUUUAGCUUCUGUUUCCAUGAAUCUUUAUUAUCAAAGUCAAGGAAGACAAUUUUCAACAUGCGAUUUCGGAGGCUCUGGUCUCAUUAGUGUAACUGAUCCUAGUGAGUUUUAUCUAUCUCUUCUUUCCUUUUUUUUCUUUAAACAAUUAUGUAAUUUUUUUUUUAUCUGACCUCAAAUCAAUUUUUUCUCGACAGGCUGUGGAUGUUGCAAAUAUGAAUUUCAUAAGUAAAGAAUAGAAAGCUUUGAGAAUGUAUCUGAUACAAAAUAAAUAAAGAACUCUAGUUCUGAUAUUUCAUAUUUGUUAUCUAAACUUUGAAUAAUUAGUGGUUCAACUUUUCACUUAUCAAGUGUUUGAGCUUUAUUUCAUGAGGUAAAAAAAAAAUCAUCUUAUCUAAUAUCAUAUCAAUAUGUACCUCUAUAAUUAUGUGGUUGAUGUUUGUCUACAUCAUAUAGACGUGAAUUAACUAUAUCUUUUAAAAAAAAAGAUGUAAUUGUUAAGUUUAAGUCCAUUUCCUAACUAAUUACUCCGAACCAAAUUUAUCUCUAAAUUGAUCAAAUAUGUAUUAGAGCGGGAGAAAAUUUAUUAGAUCACACACGAGCAAGGUUUAUAGAUUGUGGUCAUGCCUUCAUGUCGUUAUUGGUGUUUGGUGCGGUGGCAUUACACUAUAUUUACCACUUAUCAUGGUGGCAGUUAGUCUUUUGUAUUUCACUUGACUUGUCAAGGAUUCUAUUGGCAUUAUAUUUUUUUUUGGGAAUUUUUCCUCUUUUAAUUCAUUUUAAAAUAUGUUUAAUUCACCAUAUGGCCAGCCUCUUCUUCCUCGCCAUCUUUUCUCAUCUUAGUUCACUACAACAAAUAUCAGCAUUGAUAGCACACGAGUAUAGCGUUUUUUCUGUUACUGCUAUGGUAGAGUUUAUUUUUUUUGGGUUUCUUUAUAAUAGCGGUGUGUAAAUGCUAUGAUAGAAAUUUAAUGAGCGGGAAUCUAAAAUGACUUAAUCCGCCAACACUUAGCAAAAAAAAAACCUUUAGCGCCUCAGAUCUAAUUCAUUUCCCUCUUCAGUCAAAACACUUAACCAAAAACAAAACCCUUUCUCUCGAAAUUUUUUCCGACAAAACUCAGAGUAAUCCUCAACUCUCAAAUACUCUCUCAAAUACUCUAUCCUCUGCGGCGUAUUAAGGUCGGAUUUGUACUCCUCCGUAGCCACAUUCUCCUUCGCAGCGGCCGUCAGCUAGCUAAAAUCGAGGCAUGCAUGUCUUUCUUCGUUUCUAUAACUUCCAUUUCUAUUGAUUUUUUGGUCAAGAUUGUCUCUAAUUUCAACCUAGUUCAGUAGAUUGGUACAGAAAAUCGGAUUUUUUUAUGUCAUUUUGAAAUUAGGGUUCUUCGAUUAGUUUGAAAUUAGGGUAAAGCGAAAACUUCUGCGAUUUUGAUGUCUGUUAAUCAUUUUGAUCCACAUUCUCUUCACAAAGAUCUUGGUUUUGCGAUUUAGAUUUCUCCUAAUCGAUUUGUUAGUAGAUUUUUUAUUUAAGCUUAUACUGAUUCUGCUUUUUUGAUUCCGCAUUUUUUGGCAAGUGUUGGUGAUUGAAAUGUUGGGGAACUGAAGCUUUGCCUUUGUUGUACCAAUACGACAGGUUAGUCCUUGAAUGUGGCUGUGAUUCUUUGAUUGUAAAUGGUAUGAAUGUUUUGGUUUUGAUAAAUUUGCUGUGACUAUUGUGGUUUUGUUGAAGUUGCUGUGACUGUUGUCAAUUUGUUAAGGUUGUUGUCACUGUUCUUGUUUUGUUAAUUUGUUUGUUUCUGAGAUAGUGUAAGUUGCUUAAUGCUUAGUAUGUCUUUAGCAUUGUGUUCAGUUUAAGUUGUGUCUUCAUGAUAAGUUGUCUGAUCAUGAUAAGUUCUCUUAUCAUGUGAUUUUUCUCUGUGACUAUUGUUGAUUAUGGUUUCAAUUUGUGUUAAUAAGGUUUUAUUUAAGCUUAUAACAUAUAAUGUUGGACAAGGCAUGGGUGCAUCUAUGCAGGUAAGGAAUAAAAUUAUAUACAUAGGUUUGCUUUAAAAUGGGGUUUAGAAACUUUAAGAUUUUUUUUUCCUACUUUACUUCUUCAUUGAAGAGCUGAUCCUGGUUAUGAGAGAGGUGCUCGGAGAUUUGUAUUUGAUGUGGCUGCGGCUUUAGGAGAUAUAGAUAAGAUAAUAUGUCCUUGCAAAGACUGUCGUAAUGUAUACCGCUACUCAAGUAGUGAUGUGGUGGUUCAUCUUGUAACAAGAGGGAUGGAUGAGGCUUACAAGCUGCGAAGUGAUUGGUACCAUCGUGGAGACACAGUUGCUGAUGGAGAAUGUGAGAGGGAAGUAAAUCUUUGGAAUGAGGAAAUUCUUGAGUUAUACAAAGCUGCUGAAUACCAUGACCAAGAGUUGGCUAGUAAUGGUGAGCUAGGUGACAAUCCAGUGGCUGACUUAAGUGAGAUUGCAGAGGGUGAGGACAAGAGAGAAGAUGAGUUUCUAGCUAAGCUAGCAGAUGCAGAAACCCCUUUAUAUCCUGAUUGUUUAAACCACAGCAAGCUGUCGGCUAUUGUGUCUCUCUUUAGGAUUAAGACCAAGAAUGGAUGGUCUGACAAGAGCUUUGAUGAGCUUCUUGAGACACUACCAAAAAUGUUGCCCAAGGAUAAUGUGCUUCACACAUCCUUGUAUGAUGUGAAGAAAUUUUUGAAGAGCUUUGAUAUGGGAUAUGAGAAGAUUCAUGCGUGUGUAAAUGACUGCUGUCUUUUCAGAAAGAAGUACAAGAAGCUGGAAAAUUGUCCCAAAUGCAAUGCUUCAAGGUGGAAGAUUAAUAUGCACACUGGUGAAGUCAAGAAAGGUGUACCACAGAAAGUAUUACGGUACUUUCCAAUAAUACCGCGGCUGAAGAGAAUGUUCAGGACAGAGGAAAUGGCAAAGGACUUAAGAUGGCAUUUCAGUAACAAGAGCAGUGAUGGCAAACUUCGCCAUCAUGUAGAUUCUGUUACAUGGGAAAAGAUGAAUGACAAGUACCCUUUAUUUGCAUCAGAAGAAAGGAACAUGCGUCUUGGUCUGUCCACAGAUGGCUUCAAUCCAUUCAACAUGAAGAAUACUAAGUACAGUUGCUGGCCAGUUCUGCUAGUAAACUAUAACUUGCCUCCUCACCUAUGUAUGAAGAAGGAGAACAUAAUGCUAACCUUGCUUAUUCCUGGUCCACAACAACCUGGUAAUAGCAUUGAUGUCUACUUAGAGCCUCUUAUUGAAGAUUUAAAUCAUCUGUGGAAGAAGGGAGAGGUAACUUAUGAUGCUUAUAGUAAAACUACAUUUAAUCUAAAGGCAAUGCUUCUCUGGACUAUUAGUGACUUUCCAGCUUAUGGUAAUCUUGCUGGCUGCAAAGUAAAAGGUAAAAUGGGCUGUCCUGUAUGUGCAAAAAAUACAGAUUCUAAGUGGUUGAAGUUUAGCAGGAAGCAUGUGUACAUGUGCCAUAGAAAGGGAUUGGCACCAACACAUAGAUAUAGGGAUAAGAAGACAUGGUUUGAUGGAAAGGCUGAACAUGGGAGAAAAGGAAGAAUUUUAACUGGUCAUGAAGUCUAUCGGAUCCUGAAAAACUACAAAAAUGACUUUGGAAAUGUUAAAGGUUCUGGGAGGAAGAGAAAAAGGACUGCCUAUAUUGAUCCAGUUUCUGAUAGUUCAGAUUUGUCUAGUGAAUCUGAGGACGAUGAAGAAGUAGAAGUAGACCAGGAGGAAUUAUCAAGGUGGAAGAAAAGAUCAAUAUUGUUCAAGCUGCCUUGUUGGGAGGUAUGCUUUGUUGAAUUAUUUGCAUAAUUGAUCAGUUAAGCUGUGAUUAGGUAUGGAUCUAAUAUAACUAUAUUUUUAUUUGUUGUAGGAUCUCCCUGUAAGGCAUAAUCUGGAUGUAAUGCAUGUAGAGAAAAAUGUUGCUUCAAGCAUUGUUUCUACAUUGUUGCAUUGUGGAAAAUCUAAAGAUGGUCUUAAUGCUCGUAGAGAUCUCCAAGAUCUUGGUAUAAGGAAGGAUUUGCAUCCAAAAGUCCAAGGAAAGAGAACAUAUCUACCUGCAGCACCUUGGUCUUUGUCAAGAAAGAGAAGCAAAUAUUCUGCAAAAGACUAUUUGACUUUAAGGUCCAGAUGGAUANNNNNNNNNNNNNNNNNNNNNNNNNNNNNNNNNNNNNNNNNNNNNNNNNNNNNNNNNNNNNNNNNNNNNNNNNNNNNNNNNNNNNNNNNNNNNNNNNNNNNNNNNNNNNNNNNNNNNNNNNNNNNNNNNNNNNCACACUUCUCCUAUUGCACUUAGAGGGCUAUACCAAAAGGUCUAGGACAGCAAUAUAUCCGGUUAUGUUCUUUCUUCAACCAUUUGUGCAAGAGAGUCAUUGACAGAGAGGUUAUCUCAGUAAUGGAACAUGAAGUUGUGGAAACACUUUGUAUGUUUGAAAGGUUUUUUCCUCCCAGCUUCUUUGAUAUCAUGGUACACUUGACAGUACAUCUAGGAAGAGAAGCAAGACUUGGAGGACCAGUCCAUUUUAGAUGGAUGUAUCCAUUUGAGAGGUAUACAUUAUUUGAAUUGUUGUUUUGACAUUUCAAUAAUCAAGUGCUUGUCUGCAUUCUGAUAUCUUUUAUUUUUGACUUUUAAGGUACAUGAAAGUUCUAAAAGACUUUGUAAGAAAUCCAGCAAGACCAGAGGGUUGUAUUGCAGAGUCAUAUCUUGCUGAAGAAUGUGUGCAGUUCUGUAGUGAUUUCUUGAAGAAGACAACAAGUGUAGAAGAAAAACAAGAGAGAAAUACAGAGUAUGAGAACAGUUCUAUACUAGAAGGUCGUCCUUUAUCUGCAGGAACUGCAAUUACUCUUACUGAGAUGGAAAAGAACAUAGCCCAUCUUGCUGUCAUUCAAAAUAUGGCUGCAUUGGAUCCUUUUGUUGAGUAAGUUCUGUUUAUAUUAACUACUACUUGUGUCAAUAUAGCAAUCUGGUAACUUAUGUUUUUUUAAUCCUCUUUUGCAAGCAUGCACUUGGAACAUCUACAAGACACUAAUCCAAGGUGUAGACGUGAUGCAUCAAUGUUAUGGUCUAUGCAUGCUAAGAACUAUGCAUCAUGGUUAAAGGAAAAGGCAAGCUAUUUCACUGUCUUUUGUAUAUAUUUAGUCUGAUUCAUAUAAAUAUAAGUCACUGACACUAAUUUAUGCAUCUUGCUAGAUACCCAUUUCUUCAUCUGGACAUGAAGAUACAAUUAAAUGGCUGGCAUAUGGUCCACGGUGUAGUGCAAGGUCAUACACUGGUUAUAUAGUGAAUGGGCAACGUUUUCACACAAGCUCACUUGAAAGGAAAAGUCAGAAUAGUGGAGUCUAUUAUGAGGCUACAGCUAUGUGUAGAUCUAGUGCUAAAGAUACAUCACAGGUGGUUGAUUUGGUAUCUUACUACGGCAGAAUCAUUGACAUCAUCUUGCUAGACUAUAAUGUCUUCUAUGUUCCUCUGUUCCGGUGUCAAUGGGCAGUGAGAGGUAAUGGAGUUAAAGUGGAAGAUGGGUUCACACUUGUUAACUUAAAUCAGAGUCAAGUCAGUUUUUUACGGGAUCCUUACAUACUAGCAUCUCAGGCAAAACAAGUCUUUUAUUCAAGGGAAGAUGAUUCCUCCAGUUGGUAUGUUGUCAUGAGAGGUUCUACAAGAAGAUAUAGCAAAGAAGAUGUUCAGGAUGGAAAUGCAGAUAUUGGUCCAUUGCCAGCAACUGUUGACAUGGAUAUUGACAUAGAUGAUGCAGAAACUGCUAGAACUGAUUGUGAAGGAAUAUAUGUGCCAAAUGUAGCGUUUUUAAAAAUCUUUGUUCUUGUUUUGGUGUCUGUUUAUGUGGUGUCUGUUAUCUCAUAGUAUGUGUAAGGUAAGAUUAUCAUAUUUUACUUAUUUGUUUACUGGUCAUGCAGGAGACUUAAUUAAAUGGGCAGACCAAAGAAGAAGGGAGGGAAACAAUCAAGUAAGAAGAAGGGUACAACAAAGGAUGAUGAGCUAGAGUAUAUUGGUACUGUUGAGCCUGAGAUUCAGGAACAAGAACAGCAGACUGCAGAAGAACCACAGACCAGUAAGCAAGUGGAGCAACCUGUUCAAGUAUCUCAGACGGAAGGGAUAGUACCAGCUGAUAAAGAUGGAGAAGAGGAUGACCCUGCAGGUGAGCUUGAGUUAUCUGAAGACCAGGAGCCUAAGCGUAAGAAACAUAGGGGACCAACCAAGAUGAAAAACAUUGAAAGUGGAGAUCCAUCUGAGGUGACUAGGCUGAAGGUGUGGGUCAAGUCGCGUACCAAAAAGGAUGGCACGCCAGUGAAUACUAAUGCAGCCGAAAAGAUUGUAUGUCCCAAGAUUGUUUUAACAUGAUUUUGUUUUCCUUUAGUAACAAGUGUCAUUGAUUUGCAGAUGAAAGCAGCUGAGCUUGUUGGAAGUGAUGCUCCAACAACCACAACAAAUCCAGAAGAAGAUCACCUCUGUCAACUUUUAGGACCCGACAAUCCUGGUAGGCUGCGGGCAAUGGGUAGAGGCAUGAGUAAGACCAAAUUAGCUUGUUUUCAAGUGAAGACCAAGGUUAUGACUGACAUGGAAGAGAAGCAGGUUCAGUUACUGAAGAAGGUGAAUGAAUUGGAGGAGGAACUUAGCAAAAUGAAGAAGCAGGUUAACUACUUACACAAUUAAUGAUCCAAGCAGCUAAGAUUAUAUAUAUGAGAACUGACAUUAUUCUUUUAUGUUAUAGAGACAAGAACCAUAAAUAGGUGAAAACUCAGCUGCCAGAGUAAGUAAUUUAUAUCAGAUCCAUGAAUCCUUCUUACUAUUGUUAUUUCUGACUUAAAUUUCUAUUUUGUAGAGUGUAAACAAAAGAUCACACCCUAAGUGUGUAUUGGUUGAUUGGUCUGGUAGUGAUGAAAACGUUGGUGAGGGGCGUAUUCUAUCUUCUGAUCCUGAUGACUUAGUGAAUGACUGUCGUCUAGGCCCUACAGAUCUUAAAGUGUUGGUUGAAACUGCUACUAAAGCAGAUGCAUUCCUCUGGAGACCAGCAACUAAGAUGUUUACUAUUCAGGAAGCUGUUGGACAGAUUAUUGCAUGGCCAGCCUCUAAGUGUGUUCUUUUGGACAAAGAGCUCCAAAUAGAAGACAUUGCGCCUUUGGUAAACUUUAUAUUGAUACACUAUAUUACUGAGCCUGUUUAUGAGUUGGUAUUUGAUGAGUUAUUUUCAAAAUGUUUUUGACAGGGCCUAAGAGCAAACUCUAUGAAUAAAUGUAAACUGCUGGAUUUGUCUGAUGAUGAUGUGAUUGUUGCUGAGGGUCGUUGGCAGACACAAGAAGAAACUGCAUUGGUUAAUGGACUACCUCUUGGACCAAAGGCAGUAAAAGUAUUUGUGGAUUCAGUGCUUCAACCAGAAACAUUCAUAUGGAGGCCUACAAUUGAUAUGGCAUACCUUGAGGACUGUUUGAUGGCUUUUGUUUCAUGGCCGGUCAAUAAAGUUAGCUUUGAGACUCAGUCUCCUAGACAGCAUUCUGCAUCAACUGAUAUACCUUCAGGAUCUAAAUCUGCAGUUGGGACAAAAUCUGCGGAGACAAGUGAUAAACCAGCGUCUAAUGCCUCUAAAUCUUCAGGAUCAGGUUCUGAAUCUCCUAUUGAGACUGAAACACGCCCAAGCUCUCCAGUAAGGAAAACUAUACCAGAUUCACAGUCUCCUAUCCGGAAAUCACAGGUAUUUCUAUUUUAUUUUGGUCUGAUUACUUCUGUCAAUCUUCUGACCUUUUGUUUUAUGUUGUAAACAUGGCAGCGUAUCAUGCAAAAUGGUUCAAAGGAGAAUAAGAGAUGCAAGUUGAUGGACAUUACCGGAAAGAGUCGAGUAGUUGCUGAAGGACGAUGGGCAACAAAUGAUCCAAACCAGAAGGUUCACUUUGUUCCUUUGGGUACUAAUGCUGUUAAAGUGUGGGUAGAUAUUGUCAAAGUUAGCGAUGCAGAAGUUUGGAGGAAAUCAGAUGAAAUAGAGAUUAUGGAAGAUGCCCUUGGGACAGUUAUUGCAUGGGCUGAGGACAAAGUGAUCAUGGCCUGAGGUUUGGUUUGUGAAACUUCUUUGGAAGACUUGUUUUCAGACUUUUAGUUGGUUGGUUUUGGAUCUUAAGGAGAUCAUUGACAGGAUCUUUGGAAAACUUGUUAGCUUGUUAUGUGAAACAUGUCUUGUGAAUUGUAUCUUGGAUUUGAAGUUAUUAAUGAUGUAUUUGGGGAUUUUAAAACAGGUGUGUCAUAAAAAAAAGAAAUCAGUGACAUGAAAACAAAUAUAAUAGCAUUUAAAAACCUGCUACGAAAUAUAUUGGUUUUUAAAAUGUAAGAUUUAAAAAAUGCUAUGUUAGAGUCAUCUACUGUAGCGCAAUAUAUGAGUAAUUACUAAUUUUUUAUCUUAUAUAUAAACGCUAUAAGAUAAUAUCUCAUAGCAUAAAUAUUUCUUAUAAAAACAUAAACUAAACCGUUUUAAUAUAGCUAUCGUAGAGACCCCUAUCAUAGCAUGGAUAAUGAGUAAUUGCAAAAUUUCAAACAAAUAAAUACGCUUGAACACACAGCGUUGCCCUACUGCUAUAAUAGAAGUCUUUAACAUAGCAUUUGUAUUUAACGCUAUCUUAUGUGGGGUACUUACGAUAACAGGGGCAUAAAAUAGCGUUUAUGAAAAUGCUAUUAAUGACAAAACAUAGCGUUUCUCUCGUGCUAAGAAUGUGGAUUUUUCUUGUAGUGGUUCUUCUUCCUCUGCAAGCUUAACGUUCUCCCAUGGCUAAUGGAAAUCAACAAGCUCCCACUUUGCCGAAUCUGUUCCAAAACCCUUAAUCUUGCAAACAAAAGUAGGAUUUUCUACAUAUUGAUCUUUCCAAACGACGAAAUUGAAUGAAAGAAAAAGAUGAAUAAAUCUUCAAAGAAAAUUACGAAUCGGAAUAGAAAUUUAGGUUACAAAUUAUUAUCAACAGUUGGACCGGUAAAAAAGAGGUAAUUUAAAUUACCUUGGCCGCUGCCCGAAGUGACGUGUGAACAAUCCAGUUCGUCGAUCGCUAAUCAAACGAACUCUAAGUCAAAUCUGCAAACUAAGUACCAAUUCGAACCCCGGUGGUAACAUAACCACAUAGGAAACACAACCACAUAGGAAAGUAUUGAUUGGUGCUAUGAAGUCUAAUUUAAUUAUACUUAUCCCUAAAAACAAAACCGAACGGUUCCGGUUUAAACCGGUACGCUAAAUAAUUUCACAUCAUCAGUGUGUUAUCAUAAUUAAUUUAUUUGGUUCGGUUCCUUUUUUUUUUUGUUCAACAAGAGUCCGAUGUUCGUUCUUGUCUUCAGCUUCCAGAUCUCUGUUUCCUGGAGUAAAGAUUCAAUCCCCAUAAGAUUGAAUUUUAGGGGUUCUCUAAAGAUUCAAGUUUUCGGUGUUCGAUGAAAGUCCUAAUUCAGAUUUGCGCUUUCUUUAGUCAUCAUUCAAUUCAAAGAGUCUCUUCAAUUUAGACAUUUAACACAACAGAUAGAGAAAAUCCAUCGAAAAAGUUACAAUAAAUUUACUAGUGGAGAGUAGUUUCUUCACCUGGUUUUAACCUUAUAAACUCGGCUGUGCCAAAUUGAAUGCAAAAUCAUAUGAAAUAGAUCGAACUUCACCGGUUUCUUGUGCCACAGGAAAUGUUGCUGCACAGCUUUAACCCUUGCUUGCAUGACAAUAUAUCUCUCUUCGGAUAUCGAUAGCAGAAUGUUUCUCAGAUUCGCUAUUUCUUUCUCCUCAACAAACACUGCAAAUUCCUCCCAGUUCAAAAUCUCGAAAAAGGGAGGCACGUAGUUGUCAGCUAUGAUAACCGGAACACAUUCAUUAAUGAUAGCCUCGACAACCCUAGGGGUGUGGACUUCAUAACCCCUCGCACAUAUGCAGUACCUGUUGAGAUAUUGAAAUGGGAGUUAAACUUCUCACAACCAAAACCGUUCAAUAGGCAUUUUUGUAUAGGUGAGCAAUAUGGUUUACGGUUUGGAUUUUUCAGUUUCCUUGAUCUUACUUGCUGCUCUUCAUGUAUUCUCGGUAUUGUGUCUUGCUUUCGGGGUCACGAGGCAUUGGACCGACAAUCUUCAUGUCAGGUUCUUUAUUCUCCCAAAGCUUCACUAGGAUCGGACGGAGAUAUCCGUGCAUGCUGCCAGCAAAGAAUGCAAGAAUCUUCCUUUUGGAUGGAGUUUUUCCACCGAGGUACUCAAGAGGGGACUCGGCAGAGCGUAUAUAUGUGACUGGUAAAGCUGUAUCGGUCCCAAUUCUGAAGCCUUGGGCAACAUUUGAGUUGCAAAGUGCUCGAACACUGUUCUUCAUGGUUUUUUUGGUUAGUUUGUUGCCCUGCGAGUAACAUACAAACAGCUUAUUAAUCAAUUUCAUAUAUCAAAACUUUACUCAAAUCUAACAUUAAAGAGUUUAUAUGACUCUUAUUGAUAUAUCAGACAAAAGAAAGAAAGAAAGAAAGAAAAUGAUAGUACCCAAUCAUGGCAAGCGACAAUAAAAUGAUCGGCUCCACCAGUUCGGUUCCAGAACUUAUACUUUCCUGCUAUCAAAUCGACAUAUUCCUUCAAAUGGUCUGCAAAGNNNNNNNNNNNNNNNNNNNNNNNNNNNNNNNNNNNNNNNNNNNNNNNNNNNNNNNNNNNNNNNNNNNNNNNNNNNNNNNNNNNNNNNNNNNNNNNNNNNNUCCAGUCCCAGAGAGGACCUAAGAGCUUUUAUGCUGAUGGGUAUGUAGAACAAAUGAGCCUUCCUAGGGUCUCUUACUACAAACUUCUUGUUGCUUUCCAUAAGUUUCAUGAACCAACCUUCUGAGGCGUAAAUUCCUCGAGGCAGUGGCUUAUGGAAUAUUGGUUUCCCUCCUUCCUUGUACACAUAAACUUUGAGUUUCCUCUCCAUCAAGUCGUAACUCCUAAAUAAGCAACACAUCAAGUCUUGACAUAUCACCACUCCUACUCCAAACACUCCGAAGAUCUCAAAUUUAGCUAACCAACAGUCUCUAAGUCUCUAGAUUUUUUCUCCUUUAUAAUGAGUACAAGAAACAUAUGAAUAAUAUUGUGAGAGAGGGGGUAUUCAUUGUAUGGCUCACCUUAGAAACUUGGAGAUAUUUCGAUAAACCGAAGCAUUAAGUCCAAGAAAUUCAUGCACAACAGAGGCUUUCUCAAUCUCGAAUCUCGCAGAGAGCAUUUCAGAGUCUCGAGCAGAUGACCACCGAGGCUUCUACACGAAUGGCCAAGAAAAACAAAAAGAAAAAUGAGAUAUAGGAACCCUUCAACAGUUAUCUGGUUUCUUGAAAUCCAAAAUGAGAAUUUCAAGAAUCAAAGUUCUUACAGGGGAUUUAAAAGAAGAAAGACUCUGGAUCAGCAAUGAGUUCAUCUGAGAUAUCGAAAUCGCAGCCCCUCGCUCGUUCUUCCUCAUAGACAAAACAUUACCAUUUCUACUAUCUUUAACCCUAACCAUAACCAAAUUUGGAUCUGAUUCUGAGCUAUCAAUAGGUUUCCUCAGUGAUAUAUUUGCUCUGGCAAUAACAGAUACAUUAAUCUCUACCUUCUCCUUGCUAAUUACAACAUCAUUUUCUCCAUCUAGAUCCUUCUUUUUAUUCCCCUCUUCAAAUUCCUCAUCAACAUUAUCAAUAUCAGAGAGAUUUAUGUAAUUCAUCACAGAAACUUGAGUGACAUUGGAAUUGGUUGACUCAAUCACUGAAACCGUAACUGGAGACAAGCAAAACGUUUUCGGACAGGGAAUACCGAAACACUGAACAAGGAGAACAACAAAACCAACUGUGACAAUGAUUCCCGACAACAAUCUCCGGAUGUCGGAAUGAUGAAAUCUCUCCAAUCUGGUAAUGAUUCUCAUUGCAAUUCGAAUAAAUAAUCACAGCUAAUGAAUUCGGAAAGAAUUGAGCAGUGAUACCUUCAUUAUUUUCAUCUCUUCUUCAACAAUGAGAGCUUGAGAAACAAAGAGACCAUCAAAAAGAAGAUCUUUCCGGUCUUCUUGAGAAGAAGAAACACUCUUGAAUCGAGAGAGUGAAAGGUCUUCGAUAAACCCAACUAAACUGAAGUGGUUCUGUCUUUUUAAUAAAUAAUUCAUUAUUCUUUUUGGGUAUAUUGGUGAGAUAUCACAAUGCUAUUUAAUUAAGUGUCUAACAGUCAAAGAUGGUCAAUAAAUAAUGUUCACUUACUAAACUAGUCUCUUCAUAUGGCUUGGGACUGAAAAAAUGAGGCACAAGUGAACAUCUGAUUGUGAUUUAAUUUCGAUUGAUUUUAGUUAAAGACUGGUUUAAUCCCAAUUUAAUUUGAUCUGGUUUUUUUUUCCUCUUUUUAGAUUUUUAUUAAUCUAACCCUAUUAUGAUGAUAUUCAACUACUUGCAGCAUAUGCGAUUAUGAUAAACAGUUUCCACGAACAACAAUUACACGGCGCAGCUCUCCCAACGACACUCGGACAGACGGCUCUACAUGUACGACAUCCCUGCGAUGGACAUGUUAUCCCCGCAACACUCACACUACUACGAACGAUUCUGCAUGCGGCAUUCUGGACCUCCGAUAAGCUUUUGCACCAUUAAUCUGCAAGAAACUGCGUUUUCUAGGACUCGAACCCCAGACCUGGUGUAGAAGUAUUAAUAAACUUUUGGUCAACAACUGGACCAAAGGAAUUUCCACAUUUGAUCGGGUUUACUUAUGGGUUUAAUUAUGGUUUAUAAACAAUAAUAUCAAAUUAAUAUGAUUUAGUAAGGAUGUGAUUUGGUUACCCGUUCAGUUAUUUACAGUAAAAUCUCUAUCAACUAAUAAUAUCUACACGGAAAUAUGUUAUUAAUUUAUAAAUAUAUUAAUCGAUAAUAAUUAGAGAGGUAUUGGAGAGGUUUGUGUGAUUCCAUAAUUUUUUCAAAGUUUUAUAUUUAAAAUAAGAAUGUUUCAUUAUAAUCUUUAUUCUUCUAGAACUAAUUACACAUAAGAAAUAUUAUCACAUUUAAAAUUCUUCACAAUUUUCCUAUGUAAUUCGAGAAAACAACACCAAAAGUUUUUGAUACAGUAAAAAAUAUUAGAGAAAAAUAUUAUUAUCUUAUUUUUUAAAUUGUACUAAAUAUUACAGUGGCUCAACUCGAAACCGAAUUUUUUAUUAAUAUUAUGAUUAAUAAUUUAUAAAGAUUUUAUUGUAUUUAUUGGUUUGAGUCAUUUCAGGUUAAAGCCAUGAAUCAAACAUUUUUGGAUGCAAAGAGGAGAAAUUAUGAUGCAUAAUAACCAAUACAAUAAUGUGUUUAAGAUUAAUUUGGACGAAGACCUUCCCGUCGAGACAUUAAGAGCAUCUCCAUUCCACAUUUGAGUAGAGUGUCUCUAACAAUAUUAAAAAUUUGAAAUUACAAAAUUCUAGUAUUAAUUAAAUAUAAAGGGUCUUUAAAUUGGAGAUGUCUUCUUAAAAGUGUCUCUAACAAAACAUUUAAGACACAAUGUCUUAAAUUUAAAACACAUCCAAAUAUUAAAAUAAGGGAGACUCACAAAAAUGCCCCUUUUUCAAUACCCCUUUUCAAAAAUGCCCCCUUUGGAUGUCCAUUUUUAAAAAUACCCCUUUUAUGUACAAAAUGACUAAAUUACCCUUCUUUUAAUAAAAGAUAUCAUAAAUAUAUAAGGAAAUAUAACAAAAUUAGGUCCACAAAAUACAAAAUAUUUUUUGGCGGGAAAAGUGAUCCCCCAAUUUUUCCCGCCAAAACACUUGUAAAAAUUUGUAAAACCUUUAAAAUACCUUGUAAAAUUUUCCCGUAAAAUUUUUCCCGCCAAAAAAUUUUCCCGCCAAAAAAUUUUUUUUGCGGGAAAAGUGAUUCCGCAAUUUUUUUGGCGUUAAAUUUUGUCGGAAAAAAUUUUCCCGCCACAAUUUAAAGGGUAUUUUCAGGUUUAUUACAUUGUAUUGAAAUUUUUUACCAUGUAAAUUCAUGGCAUGAAGCUUACCCCCACNNNNNNNNNNNNNNNNNNNNNNNNNNNNNNNNNNNNNNNNNNNNNNNNNNNNNNNNNNNNNNNNNNNNNNNNNNNNNNNNNNNNNNNNNNNNNNNNNNNNNNNNNNNNNNNNNNNNNNNNNNNNNNNNNNNNNNNNNNNNNNNNNNNNNNNNNNNNNNNNNNNNNNNNNNNNNNNNNNNNNNNNNNNNNNNNNNNNNNNNNNNNNNNNNNNNNNNNNNNNNNNNNNNNNNNNNNNNNNNNNNNNNNNNNNNNNNNNNNNNNNNNNNNNNNNNNNNNNNNNNNNNNNNNNNNNNNNNNNNNNNNNNNNNNNNNNNNNNNNNNNNNNNNNNNNNNNNNNNNNNNNNNNNNNNNNNNNNNNNNNNNNNNNNNNNNNNNNNNNNNNNNNNNNNNNNNNNNNNNNNNNNNNNNNNNNNNNNNNNNNNNNNNNNNNNNNNNNNNNNNNNNNNNNNNNNNNNNNNNNNNNNNNNNNNNNNNNNNNNNNNNNNNNNNNNNNNNNNNNNNNNNNNNNNNNNNNNNNNNNNNNNNNNNNNNNNNNNNNNNNNNNNNNNNNNNNNNNNNNNNNNNNNNNNNNUGCGGAAUUACUUUUCCCGCUUCUUGAAUUUUUUGGCGGGAAAAUUUUUUGGCGGGAAACAUUUUUACGGGAAGAUUUUACAAGGUUUUCUCAAGGUUUUUACAAGUGUUCUGCCGGGAAAAUUGCGGGAUCACUUUUCCCGCCAAAAAAUAUUUUGUAUUUUGUGGACCUAAUUUUGUUUCAAAUAAGGGUAAAAUGGUCAUUAAAAAUUAAAAGAGGACAUACUUAAAAAUGGACUCUCAAAGGGGGCAUUUUUGAAAAGGGGUAUUGAAAAAGGGGCAUUUUUAACAAUUUCUCUUAAGAAUUACCAACUUUAAGAGACACACGGAAGCUAUUUAGUACAUUCUAUAUUUUAUUGAUGUUAAUACUGACGUAGCGAUUUAUGAGACCAAAUUCUGCUCCCAAGGAUAAUUUAACUUCAUGUAGAAUCUCAACCUGAAAAAAAACAAAACCUAAAAUUGCAAUGCGAAACACUUUGAAUACGUUCUUCUGCGGAAACUAACUAGAAGCAUUCAUAUUAAGCUUUGGAAUGUCAGUUUGACAAAGAAAAAAAAAAUUAUAAUGUCAUUCUAACGAAUAUCCAAACCAUGUAUCAAAAUAUGAAGUUAUAUGUACUUUGCAUCAAUUAAUAUAACUGAAUAUGCUUCCAUUCAACGAUAUUGAAUCGACAAUUUCGUUCAAUAUAGUUCUUUAAUAUUUUUGCGUUGAUGCUAAAAUGCCUCAUUUUGUUUUUCUGAACCACCAGAUUUUUAAUAUGGUAAUAUGCAGAAACUUUGAAUAUUAUUAUAUCAUAUGUAGAAACUUUGACUAUUUUGCAUGUAUCAUGCAUAAACUUUGACUACUUUUAGGACUAAUUAGCUAAAAAAAAUCCCCUCUUAGCUUCUACUAUAAAAUUAAAAACAUUUCUUUUCAAUUAAUUAGCCUUAAAACUAGUCAAAGUUUCUGCAUAUUACAUAAUAAAAGUCUAAUAUUUAUAGAAAGUAUGAAUUUAUGAAGUCAAUUAAGUACUCCCUCUGUUUCACAAAGAGUGUCGUUUUAGAGUUUUGCACACAGAUUAAGAAAACAUUAAAUUUUUUGUUUUUUCUAAACAAAAACAUCAUUACCUAUAUACUUAAACACAAUCUGCCCAAUAGUAAAACAAUCUGCAGAAUACUAAUAGUCAUAAAACAUAAAAAAAUCAUUAAAUUUUGCAUUGAAAACCUAAAACGACACUCUUUGUGAAACAAAAAUAAAACCUUAAAACGACACUCUUUGUGAAACGGAGGGAGUAUAUAAUAAAGUUUCCUAAUUCUUUCAUACGUUCUUAUCUAGUUUACAAAAUUAUAUAUAUAUAUAGAUCAAUUUAUUCACACCACACAAAAGUCUAUUCAUUCUUAAUAUCUCAAAGAUUAUGACGAAACUUAUCAUUCACUUCGUAUUUGUUCUUAUUGUUUUAUCUUGUACGAAUAUACACUCACCAUAGUUUUGAAUUCAAGAUAUUGUGUUUUUUUGCAACAUUACUUAAUAUUUAAAUCUUUUGCAUGCAGAUUUUUCAUCAGAAUCUGAAGCGCUAGGAAAAGUACAGCCGGAACCAUAUCUUUGUCAUUGCCCUGGUGACAGAGAUCCUGACUGUGGUUGUCUUCCUCCCAUAGAUCAUCAAGUUCAUAAUACGUCAACGAUUGGUCCUAAUGCUAACAAUAAAAAGUUAACGGGUUGCAAUCCCGAUGAUUGUUAUUGAUAUGUUAGAUGACAUAAUCUCAAUAAAAUUGUGGUAAGAUAAAUGUCGAGCAUAUAAAGAUUUUAAAAUACAAUAAAAUAAUGAUUAUUUUUAUUAUAACUAGGUUAACUUCUUCUCAUAUUUCACUUAUUCGAUGGAGUGGUGUGCAUUUGAGUUCUAUGCAAAAACAAAACAAAAAACAAAAACAUGAAAUAAUAAUUCUAAAUGGUCAUGGUUGAAUCCAACCGAAUAAAUCCUUUGGUAUAUGUUUGAACAGUUUAUAAUUUAAAUGGUAAUAGUUGAAUUUAGCUAAAUUUUUCAAAAAAGUAAUUAAUUAUAAGUCUUGUAAAAAAUAGUUAAAUUAAAAAAAAUCAACAAGAUAAUUAAAUUAAAUUAAUAAAAAUAUAUUUUCAAUUUGAUAUUUUAAUAAUAUUAUUAAACUAUGAUUUUUUUCUUUCAUAUCUUAUUAAACUAUGAUAACUACAAAACAUGGCAAAAAAACUAGCAACUUGUAAAAAAUUAAGGGCGAAUUUCGUAAGAAUUUGAAAUUUAAUUAUUCUUUUUAUUGGAAAAAUGGAAUUCUCAAAUGAAUUAUAUGUUCAGGUGAAUUUAUAAAUAUACAAAAUGUAACACAUAACAGUUAAUAUUGCAUGAAUUAUCUCACAAUCAAACCAAAUUAUUCCCAAAACUAGAUAAUGACCUACACGUUGCGUAGGUUUAGUACUAUAUUGUAAUUUAGAAGAUUUGACGAAUAUCUAUAUUGUGUCUCAUCUACAAAUAUUAAUUUUGAUAUCUUUUCGAGAAAACUAGUUUUUUUUUUUAAUUACAUAGCCGACUAUUUUAAAAAGUCUAAAUAUGAUAAAAAAAAGUUUCUACAUGAAAAUAUUAUUGUUUUUGUUUUUCAGAAUAUUUACACAUCCAACACUUAAACAACAUGAAUUUACUCUUUACUAUACCACUCUUUGUUAUUUGAGAUGUUAAUUUUGUAAUAUAAUAUAAGGGAGACUCACAAAAAUGCCCCUUUUUCAAUACCCCUUUUCAAAAUGCCCCCUUUGGCUGUCCAUUUUUAAAAAUACCUUUUUUAUGUACAAAAUGACUAAAUUACCAUUUUUUUAAUAAAAGAUAUCACAAAUAUAUAAGGAAAACAUGAGAAUGUGCACACAUCAAAAUUACAAAUUUGAUUUUGUAAAAACUUGUAAAACCUUUAAAAUACCUUGUAAAAUUUUCUGGCAAAACUUUUUCCCGCAAUUUUUUUGGCAUUAAAUUUUGGCGGGAAAAAUUUACAAGGUAUUUUAAAGGUUUUUUACAGGGUAUUUAUAAGGUUUUACAAUCUAUUUUAAAAAGUUUUACAACGUAUUUAUAAGGUAUUUAUAAGAUAUUAUAAGAUUUUACAAGCUAUUUUAUAAGGUUUUACAAGUUAUAAGGUUUUACAAGUUUUUUAUAAGGUUUUACAAGUUAUAAAUACCUUAUAAAAUCUUAUAAGUACCUUGUAAAACCUUUUAAAAUACAUUGUAAAACCUUACAAAACACUUGUAAAUAUUCUGUAAAACCUUUAAAAUACCUUGUAAAUUUUUUCCGCCAAAAAAAUUUCGCCAAAAAGAUUGCGGAAUCACUUUUUUUUUGGCGGGAAACUUUUUUACGGGAAAAUUUUACAAGAUAUUUUAAAGGUUUUACAAGUUUUUACAAGUGUUUUGGCGGGAAAAUUGCGGGAUCACUUUUCCCGCCAAAAAAUAUUUUGUAUUUUGUGGACCUAAUUUUGUUUCAAAUAAGGGUAAAAUGGUCAUUAAAAAUUAAAAGAGGGCAAACUUAAAAAUUGACUCUCAAAGGGGGCAUUUUUGAAAAGGGGUAUUGAAAAAGAGGCAUUUUUAACAAUUUCUCAUAAUAUAAACAUCGUAUUAUAAAAAAAAACUUAGUUUACUUUAUUUUGGUUGUUUCCACCAAAUUUGUGUAAAACAUUAUUUGAUUCAAAUGAUGAAAUCUCAAACUUAUUUUCCUUUUUGAUCAUGUUACAAAGUUGUAGUUUCACUUGGGAAUAUACUUUUCUUCGAGAUAUGCUACACAAAUUAUAGAUCAGUUCUUAUAACGACUUACAUAUCACUUUUUUUUAUAUAUUUUCUAAGAAGAUGAAUUAUAAUAUUUAAGACUUUUAAGAUCUUUGGUUUUAUAAUUUCACAAAAAGUAUGACCUUUACAAUUUCUUCUUGUUUAAAUUUUAAAUUGAGUUUAGUAAUCUUUUAUUUUUUCUUAACUAAAAACUUAAUAAUAAAUAAAGUUCUUGGUAGUAUAUUUUUUUUAGAAACUAAUGUGUAACUUUAAAUUUUAUUUUCCUGUUUAAAUUUUUAUAAAUAGAGUUAUAUAAUGUUUUAUUAUACCAUGCAUUUAAUUUUACUUAUAUUUUAAAACGCAUUAACACAUUGAAAAGUUUGAAAUAUGAUUUUGACCCAAAAAAAAAAAAAUUGAAAUACGAUCACCUUUUUACUUUUGAAAGGUCAUUGUUUGGUCACACAACAAUGACUAUUUCAAAUGUGAAAGGUCUCGAUGAAGAAAUAAGGGAGUGUUAUUGGUUCCUAAUUUACAUGGAAUUUUGAUGACUUUAAUAAAAUCAUAGAAAGUAAACAAAUGAAAGAUUCUAAACUAUUGUUAGAGAGUUUUCUAUAAUCUUGUUGAUUAGUAUUGAGACCCAUUAGUAUUUCAUAAUCUUGUAAAGUUUUCCAAACAAUCUCUCUAUUUUGAUUGUAUUAAUUUUUCAUGAUUUUAUUUUGUAAAGAAAAGUGUAAAAAGUCACAAACCAAUCACAUAAUAAUUUAAUUCAUUAAUAAUCAUAGAUUCUUUUGUUGUAAUUGAAUAACACAAAAUUUUAAAUGGCUUUAUAAAAGUAUGAAUCCAAUAACUCCAGAUUUCUAAAGAUUUUAGAUUAUUUUUUACAAAUCUUAAAUUAAUAACACAAACUUCAACAAACUAAGAAAAUCUUGAUUGAUAACAACAAAUUCUACAUAUCAUUUAAAGUCACUUAAACUCUAUUUAAAUCACAAACCAAUAAUACUCUUCCUAAGUGUAUUUUGGCCAUCCGAUAUCGCAAGAAGUGCAAGCAUUGGAUUACAAGUAAAUAUAUACAAUUUUUUUUUCUUAUGCUAUAACCGAUAUCCCAACUAUGCACUCUAUAGAUAUGGAAAUUUUAUACUUUCAAUGAAUAAUAUUAAUAUGUAACUAAAAGAAUAAAUUAUGGUGAAGAGUGUAAGUUUGCUAGUCGGUUAUAGCAUAUGUAUAGCUUGUAAAAUUUUCAUUAGAUUCAAAUAAAAAGAAGAUUGUGUGCAUGGUUUUAUCUUGUAUGAUAAGAUUUAAAUUUCAAUUAAUCCCUUUUUUGAUUAAUGUCAUAAUUUAUUUAGUACGUAAGAACUAUUAUUUAAAUUUUAUAAUGAAAAUUUUCUGUUUUAUCCAACUUAGAUACUGAGAGGAUAUAUACAUGUAGUUCUCUUGUUCGAGAUCUAUGUCAUGGAGUUCGCAUGCCAGUAGCUUCUUUACUUUACGGCAAUUUUAGUUGAGUGACCAUUACACUUGUGAAGUUUGCAAUAGGCAUUCUCAUCGCAGCCCAUUUUCUUAGGGUAUUAUUAUUUGGGUCUAGUUUUUUGGAAGUCGGAUAUCAACUUCAUAUUGGCUUGAUUUGUACCUCUGGACUAAUGCCAAUUUUUAAUUUUUCGAAAGCUGCCCAAUUAGCACCUCGAUGAAGAGCAUCUUCGAUUGGUUAGGAUCUACUCAUGUAUAGGCCAGCUUGUGGAAUUUGGGAUAGGAGGAAUAUGCAACGCUUGUGCCGGCAAUAAGCCUGGAAUAUUAUGAAUGUAGUCUGAUACUAAACUGUUUCUUGUUGUUACCAUAAUUGCAAUUACUGAUCAUCAAACCAAAUGCUCUUUCCUGUUUUUGUGCAGAGCCAAAAAAUGCUGCUACCAUUGUUGAGGUUGAUGGAAUUCCUCUUAUAAUCAAAUGUUUAUCAAGUCCUGUCCAGAACACUGUGAGUACACGGGUUUCUCGCCUCAUUUAUGUUUCUAUAGUGUUUAAAUGGAAACUCAAAAACUCAAAAUUUAUCUAUUAUAAAUUCUUUUUAAUUUCAACAACAGAUCUUCUUUAUAAUUUUCAUAUAUUUUACAUUAUUAUACAGUAGGUUAUUGCUUGUAAGUUUCUAUUUGUUUUGAUCUUAGAUUAUUAUGAGAGUAUCAAUCCCAAAAUUUGUGAUGCAUUUACUCGAUCAUUUAUAAGCCAGCUCGGGCUAUGAAUCCUGAUUCCUAAAUUUAUUUUGCUUUCUUCUUCUUUUGGUUCGAUUUAAAUUGUUUGAUCAUAACCGAUCAUGAGUGAAAUUUGGAGGAAGUGGUAGAUCCUACAAGGUCGUAUUAAUUAAAGACCUCAAUAGGCGUUUCAAGCUCGAUGUAUGUUGGCCCUUAUGAUGCAAGAAUUUGGUUUACAAGUGGGUGUAGAUCAAGGGUUGAUGUUAAUCUAGUACCCGAGAUAAUUCGAGUCGUUCCUAUGACCCGAGGAGGGGCCAAUAUUCAUGCUUAGGACUCUAGUUUUAUCACCAAACUCAAGACAAUUAAAUGUUGCUUGAUUGUGGACUAAGCGUAUGCGGACUGAUUUUUACGUGUCACAUUUUACUUGGCUAUACCAUCUUAUUAAACCAAUCGACUCAAGGUGGAAUACUGGUCGAAGGGAUUAUCUUUGAUGUUACAAGACUAAGAUUCAAAACUUUUCCAUUGUGAUUUCAACCACAGUUUAUGUAUGUUUUCAGUGACAAUAAUACCCGACUCUUUCACAAAUUUUGGAAAUUAGUUUGAGUUCAAUUCAAAAUCGCAUAAUACAAAAAAUAAUUUAUAUGAGACCAACAAUAUUUGGUAUGAAAAUUUAAUAUGGUAGGUAGUAACUUCGUAGGUACAACAUUCAUUUCCUUGCUGCCGACAUGAUAAUUGUUCAUAAAUAUUUUUGAACACGUACUCAUAAUGUUUAUGGACCAAAAGAUCUGAUCAGACUCCUAAUUAGAUGAAUUGUGUGGUCGAUUUUAAGAUGUACCUUUUAAAUCUUAAUUCUUUCAACUACUCGAAAUAAAUUUUCCUCACCAUCCCAAUACUAGAAUAGCAUAUUCUUAAAUAUAAAUUAUUAACCAAACUAUUAUUCUAUGUUUUUCAAAAAAAAAAAAAACCAAACUAUUAUUCUUUUGAAGAUUAUAUAUCACUAGAUGCAUGAUUAGAAUCCAUGAUAUCACUCAAUUUCAGAAAUGAGCAGAGUUCUUAGUGCAUACGUAGUUUAUCUUAAACCUACAACGAAUAAAGCACGACACCAAAUUCCACUGUUCACAUCUAGGUUAAAACCUAGUACCACCAGUGAAGUUAUUUUUGUUUUUGUUUAGUUUUGUUAAUAAAAGAGUAUUUUGUAAAGUUAAAACCAAGGAGCCAAUAAAUCUUUAUUUUUUUUUUAUUAUUAUUUUUUUUUCAAAACCUAAUACGAAAAAUCAGUAAUUCUGAGAUAGAAUGGUGGUAAAUCACUUGUUUAAGUUUCUACUUUUUAAAAACAUGAUUCUGUUAUAUACUACUAAAGUGUUAAAAUUAAAAUUAGAAAAAAAAUAAUAUGUGAUUAAUCUACUAAAACUAUCUUUCUGCUAGAAAUUAUGAAAUUAUUUAGUUAUUUAUGUGAUAUACUAGUGACAGUGAGACCCUAUAUUUAAUGUUUUGAUGCCACGAAAGCUGAUUUUCAAACCACAACUUUAUAAAUUCUCUCAUUAAUGUCUCUUCUAAUGCAUCAAUCAACCAUAACGUGUAUUUAUAAAUGUUGUCUAUAUCUAAAUUUGUUACACAAUUAAAAUUAAUACUUAUCGUUUUUCUAUGUCUACAUCAUACAUUAUGUAGGUUGUAGUUAACAUCAUACAUUACGUGGGUUGUAGUUAGAAAUACUUUUAUAAAACAUAAUCUCUUCAUCUUUGACCCACAACAAAAAGCUUUUAACUGAAUUUAAUAGCCAUGGCCAAACAUGCCAACAAUAUACACCAAAAAAAAAACAUACUUGUAGCUUGAACAGUGCUAAGGGACUCACAUUCUAUUAGUAUGCUUCCACAUGUUGGCCUAUGUCAGCCAAUAGUAUUUGCUUAAGUGUUAGUGUUGGUUCAAUAUAUAUUAACUCAAAAGUAUUUGUCGACUAAAUUUACAUAUUAACAAGGGCAAUCAAUUUUCUGGUUUAUCCUUAAUUUAAUCAUUUUGGAUUACUCUAAUAUAUAAAAUAUGAGAUGUGAAAAUUGUUUUUUGUUAUAAAAAAAUGGAUCAUUUCUCGAUUUGUUAGUGUCAUAUGAAAUGUAAUUUCUCCCAAAAAAAAAAAACUACAAGGAAAGAUAACAACUAAAUAUUUUGUGAAAAUAAACAUCUAAAGUUUAUAUUGCUUUCCGAAAUAUGUCGAAUUAUCAAAAAUGAAUUGGAUUGAAAAUUAAGCAUCUUGUGAUAUAUUUGUAUAGAAAUGUAUUGGGCCACGAUUGUUAAUAGACAUAUCAUCUAGCAUAAUUCAAAAAAAUCUAGCACUGUAUGUAAUCUAUAUUAGACAAACUAUAUAGCAUUACAUGUAGGUUAACUUAGGCGGAUCCUGUAUCACCACCAAAUUUUAAUUUUAUUUAUUGCUUUCUUGGGUUAGCUGUAGAUGUCUUUGGAUCCGUCGAUCUUACAAAAAUACAAACAACUCGAUAGAUAAGGAUACUUGUCCAAGCAUACGUGGUCUAGUGGUAGGAAAGUUUUGGUGAAGGGAGAAACUUCCAGACCCGAGUUUGAUUUUUUCUGAAAACAAAAACAUAUUUGUUUGGGAAGUCUGUCAGUUGGGCCAAUCGGUUUACCUCGUAGUCAGAAAUGCAGGCGGCCUGACUACCCCUGACAUUAGUCGGAAGACACUCCAAACUCGGAUCAUGCAGUGUGGUGGCGCAAUUCUGGAUCUUAUGGAUCUCAUGAAUCUCAUGGCCCGUUCGACCCGAAUCCGCUUGUAACUCAUGGUGUCCAUUGAAUCGUUGAACUACGAGAGUAGUCCACUCUGUAGCAUCUCGGUACGUUCAUAUCGGGGCUGACUAGAUCAGCUGAUAGGGUUUAUAAAAAAAAAAGAUAAAAAGAAGAUAAGGAUACUUCAUGUUAUUCAAAAAAAAAAAAGGAUACUUCAUUUUGGCCGCUAAAUGGUAUAUAUAUUAGAUAAUUUGGUUAAGCUAUCCGUUAUAAGGAGCCCUCAUAUAUGAGUAUAUGAGUGGUCAGGGGCAUACAAUUAAAGUAUUAGAGUCAUCUCACCAUGAUUACAUGUAUUGUAAUCAAGAUCAUGACCCAAUCCUCUUUGAUCAUGAUCUUGUAUCCAAGUUUGCACUUUCUCUUUCUAAAUGAAGCACAUCCAUAUUUUACAUUUCAUUAAUACAUCAUAUACUUAAUGAUAUUCUCUUUCUAGUUAGUACAUUAAUUUAAAUUUUGUCAAGAAAAUUCUGUUAAACAUAUAAAUGAAAUUUAUAAUGAAAAUGAUUUUUUUUUUAAGGAAUAAACUAUAAACUACUUAAGAAAUCGACGAAGAGAGCAACCACAAAACCCUAACUUACACCAACCCUCAUUUAAUAAUAAAAAAAAAUAGAUAACGACAAAGAAAUCAAUGCUAUAUAAUUCAAGUAUCCACUACAAAGGUUGGAGAAUCCUUAAACCAACUAUGAAAACGGAAAAUGUUAUGGAGAGAGAAGAGAUCGAGACAACGCCAAUGGAGCCACUUAGCCCAAUGUCACAUAUGCUAAGUUCGCCAAAUUUCUUCAUUGUGAUAACUUUUGGGUUUAAAGUUAGAUGCAACCCAUCGGCCUUUGUUGAAGGCAUCAACAACUCAUUGAUCAAUGCUCCCAGAUUCUCUAGCAAAAUGGUAACAUAUAUCAUGUAUUCUACACGUAUGCAUGCAUAUUGUUAUAUUAAAAACAUUGUUUAUGUCUUUUACAAAAAAAAAAAACAUGGUAUAUGUAAUUUAUCUACACGUAGUAUCAAAGAAUUUAUAUUCAUUCCUUUCCCUUUUCAUGUAUGUAGUCACAUGUAAUUUAGUUCUAAAUUAUGCCUAUGGGUCAUAUUUCUUUUUUUUUUUUUCUUUCGUAGGAGAUAGAUUAUAAGAGAAAAGGAGACCCGGUCUGGAUUCCUGUUAAAGUUCGAGUAGAAGAUCAUGUUAUUGUGCCAGAUCCUGAAUAUUCCAACAUUGAAAAUCCUGAUCAUUUCAUAGAAGACUAUACAUCAAACAUUGCUAAUAUUCCAAUGGACAUGUCCAAACCUCUUUGGGAAUUUCAUUUACUCAACAUAAAGACAUCAAAAGCAGAAUCUUUGGCUAUAGUAAAAAUACAUCACUCAAUUGGUGAUGGAAUGUCUCUUAUGUCACUUUUACUUGCUUGUUCACGAAAAACAUCAGACCCUGACGCGCUAAUUUCUACUACCACGGCUACAAAGAAACCCGUUGAUUCCAUGGCUUGGUGGUUGUUUGUUGGGUUUUGGUUUAUGAUAAGAGUCACCUUCACCACUAUUGUUGAAUUUUCCAAGUUAAUGCUUACAAUAUGCUUUUUGCGAGAUACCAAAAACCCUCUUAUGGGUAAUCCGAGUGAUGGAUUUCAAUCUUGGAAGGUUGUCCAUCGGAUAAUAAGUUUUGAGGAUGUCAAGUUAGUGAAGGACACAAUGAACAUGGUAUAAAAUCAUUGUUAUUUUGCUUUAUAUUGAUCAUUCAUUUACGUACACUAACAACUUCAUAACAUUCUUUUUCUUUUUUGUAGAAGGUGAAUGAUGUUCUUCUUGGAAUGACACAAGCAGGUCUUUCAAGAUAUUUGAGUAGCAAAUAUGGUAAAUUCAAAUUCCUUCUAAUUUUAUAAGUAUAUAUCAUUAACCUUAAAUAAUAAUUUUAAGCAUAGAGUCAAGCUUAUGUUUCAUUAAUUUAUGUUUUCAAAUAGAUGAAGAUAGUAGGAACGAUGGAAAUUAUUUAAUCGAUAUCUAGUCACAUCACAUAAUGGUACCAUCUGAGGUUAUGAGUUAUGACAAUCAGAGCUUACUCAACCACUAUACUACAUAGUACCAUCAUAGUAUUAGUUACUCGCUUUAAAUCUAAAAUUUGUUAAAUAAAGUUUAUAAAUGAAAAUUUUGCCAAUAUUUUCUAUAAUUUUAAAUACUUUCAAAUAGUUCUAAAGUUUUUACUAAGUUUUUUUUUUUGGUUUCUUGGUGUAAAAAUAGGUGUAACUAUUCAGCAACUAAAACAUUAUAUUUCAAACUUAUUUUUUUACCAUUUUUUUAGUGUUAGGUUUUCAACGAGAUACUGUACUAAUAUUAGAACAUCAAUAUAUACUCAUAGUUAUAAUAUUUGAUCACAUUAUCGAUCGACAGAUGGAUCAACGGCCGAGAAGAAAAAGAUCGUAGAAAAACUCCGUGUUCGUGGUGCUGUAGCUAUAAACUUAAGACCAGCAACAAAGAUAGAGGUGAUAAUCAACAUAAAUUACAAUCAUACAAAAACAAUAUAUCUAAUUAAUAAGAAUGUAAAAGUUUGAUAAAAUAUGGAAAUGUAGGAUUUGGCUGAUAUGAUGGCGAAGGGUUCAAAGUGUAGAUGGGGAAACUUCAUUGGAACAAUUAUAUUUCCUUUGUGGGUGAAACCAGAGAAGGAUCCAUUGGAGUACAUUCGACGAGCCAAAGCUACGAUGGAUAGGAAGAAAAUAUCUCUGGAAGCUUUUAUUUUCUAUGGCAUCAUUAAAUUCACCUUGAAAUUUUUUGGAGGAAAGGUGAAAUACGAAACCAAUAUGAGCUAUUUAAUCCAUACAUUUUAGUGCAUAUUGCUAAUUUUUUUGUUUUCGAUGGUAAGAAAAUAACAGGCAGUAGAAGCUUUUGGAAAGAGGAUAUUUGGUCACACAUCAUUGGCAUUUUCAAAUGUGAAAGGUCCCGAUGAAGAAAUAAGUUUUUUUCACCAUCCGAUUUCAUAUAUCGCAGGAAGUGCAUUAGUUGGAUCACAAGUAAGUAUAUAGUACUCUUUUCCUUAAGUAUGUAGUUAUGAAACUUUUGAUGAAGUUAAUUAACUAAAUUUUUUUUUAUUUUUUAUUUAUGUCUAACAAGGCUCUCAAUAUCCAUUUUAUAAGCUACGUAGACAAGAUUGUCAUCAAUCUAGCUGUUGAUACAACAACGAUUGCAGAUCCUCAUCGACUAUGCGAUGAUAUGGUAGAAGCACUCGAGAUAAUCAAAUCUGCCACACAGGAGAAAAGAUUUCAUAAAACGGAAGUUUGAAACACACCCACCUGAUGUUUAAUCAACGCUCUGUUUGUGUUGUAAUAUAUGAACAUGAAGUUUGGUGAAGUGUAUCUCUCUUGCAAACGUUUUGCUUGAUCAAGGAAAAAAAACGUGUUUUGUCGGUAUCUUUUAGCAAAUCUUCCUAAAUAAUUUUGCUUGUAUUAGUAGAAUUAGUAUUACUCUUUCACUAUUUUGUGGGAAAAAAUCUAUGAGAAACUUGAAGUUUUCGUACCUACUGUCUCACUAUUAGUCGCAAGGACAUCAUCCCACAAGAAAAUAACUAAAAAUGAAAGAUCUGAAAAAAAAAAAAAUAGACAACCUCACCGGAUCGAUGGCCAUCGGCCUCAUUCAUCAUCGCUGUUACAACGACAAUCAAAGUUAAAAGUAAAAACAUUAAGCAACAGAACUUCUAUAUCAACAAGCUAAAGACAAAACAAAAUAUGAUGUCUUACCUACACCACUAAAGAGGAGUAGUUGAGGGAGUGAAUAAUCUUCCAAGUUUUACUCGCACUUGAUUGAGCGGUAAAUGUGACGGACAAAGAGAAGGGAAGCACGGAAUCCGAUUGCCCCGAGCAUGAGGAAGAAUCCGUAGCAGAUGCAAGCCAUGUAGCCAAAGAAGAAGGAAGUCUGCAUGAACCCUGACAUAUCCGACCGUGCAUAGUAGUAAUACAAGCAGUAGGCGUAUAUGAAUAAGCCCGUUGAUCCACCACAUAGCAAUGAUCUUUGCAUGUAGAAGAUACAAAAGAGUCAGAUGAACAGAAAGAUUAACAAUUUAUAGACAAACUCAAAUAUGGGAUUCUCUUUUAGGCUAAAAGCAUUGAUCUAUUAUUAUCACGGUUAUGAAACCAUCACAGACAAAAAGGAAAUAGUUACGACUUACGGAUUUUCAAUAGAAAAUCUGUCUUUGCUAAAGGUUACGAAAACUUCUUAAAGAGUAGUUUCAACUAGUUGGAAACUUAAUCAGACAUAUUCCCUGAAACUACCACAAGUUAAACCAGAAGUCAAAGAAAGAGAAAAGAAAACAUUACCUCCACCACCACUCAUGGUCUUCAGCAGCAAGUUGGAAGUAUGUCAAUGCAACCGUGAUGAAAGCAGUGACUAUGACAAGAAUAAGGAAGACGAUAGACAGAAUACUAUAGAUGGUGUAUAUUCUGUGACCCCAAACACUGGCAAAUAUGUAGUAAAGCUCGAUGUAAAUGGCACUGAACGGUAAAAAACCAGCCAUAGCCAUCUGCGGAAGUGUUCUCCUGUACCAACGCAUUGGUGGGAUCUCUCUUGGAUAUUUUGUGGUACGACAAGGAGCUUGAAACUCGGAUUUUCUGUUCUUCCCAGCAAUACCUCCCAGUAUUAACAAUGGUGAAGUAACAAGUGCCCAUAUAAGGAAAAUAACCACAAUUGUCCCAAAUGGCAAUGCUGCAGUGGCUUGGUAAGCAAUUGCAACAGUAUUAAGGAAGGAGAAAGUGAGCAAAAGAGGUCCACAGAAAAGGCUUCCAGUCAGUAUAACAUUCCUAACCUGUCAAGAGAAUCAAUAUCAGCUUUCUUAAUCAACCAACCUAUUGCAAAUGAGAACAAGAUAGAUGCGGUGAGACAUAGCUUUUCCUCAAACUCCUAAAAUGAAUGCCCAGAAAUCAGAACUGUGAGCCAAAACUCAGCAUGCAAAAAGAAGUAGAAAACUCAAAAUAAUUAUCUCGUAUGGGAUGUAAGGUCAGGCCUCAACUAUACACAUAUAUGCAUAAGUAUGAUGCACACAUAUUUUCAAGAUAAAAGAGAGGUAGUAAAGGAACACACAAAGUCGGUGUUGAAUGCUAAACCGAAUUGACUGGUACUUCGGUUAGACUAACUUAUACUAAGUAUAUCACUUAAGCACUGUAGACAGCCACUUUUACCAAAUAUGCAGAAGCAGAAACUAUACCAGAUGAUUUCACUAAAUGCUCUCACGGUGGAAGACUUUUGAGUUUUGACUCACUGCUGAGAUAUGAUUACAAUCCUAAGACCCAUAAAAUGGCAUCCAUACUUACCCAAUUAGUUCCUUCUAGCUGGCAAUAGAAAGAAGCAGCAGUAUAACCGGCAAUCCCUGAAGUAAGUGCAUAUAUGACCACUAAUGCAGUAAACAACGCUCCACGGUUGUAGGGAUAAAAGACACCGACUAACGCAAGCAUGAAGAUGAAAACAGCUCUGCAUACAAAUAAAAAGACGUGUUACUGAGUGAAAACACCAUGCCAGGAAGAGCACCACGAGUCCACAACUCUAUGUGAAAACAUACAGUGUAAACAAUUGUGUGCCAGAACCAAGGGCUGCAGCCAGUAGGGAUUUGUGUUUGGGGAACCUAAAUACAUCACCAUGGAUCAGUUUCCACCCAGUCUCUUCUUGGUCAUCGACUGCCUCUUCAUCAUGUGCAUACCUAUGAAGUACAUAAGCUAGAGGGUAAGCUACUAGAUAUAUUUAAAAGUCACAAAUUCAAUUGUGCUAUGCACUCUAGCUAAUAUCUUACUUGACAAAAUCAUUCUUUAAGACUCGCAUAAGAAUCGUCGCAAGGAAACCAGUCAAGAGAAGAACUGUGACACAUGAGUUAAUGAUGGAGAACCAAUGGAUUUCCAAGUGAUGUGGCAUUGAUGAAGCCAGUGAGUAUUUCUCCAUCCUCUUCUCGAAUGGGAUUUCUGUUUCCUUCCAUCGAACAGUAUAUGUGAAAUCCACUUGGACUUCCUUGUCCUCAGUCAAGUCCACAAGGAAAUUCUGGUCUGUUCUCACAAUAAUUUCAAUAACUCGGUCCUUAUUAUAGAAAAUCUCAAACUGUAGAUGAUUGAAGAGAUAAUAUUUAUACUCAGAUGGGUCAGUUUUUCCCUCCUUGAAAACUUUCCCCAGGAAUCCCCAGAUGGGCAAGUCAUCAUAAUACAUCUGAAAGUAGUAGUCUUUCGCAAUCACAUCACGAAACUUAGCAACAUCUUCUCUACUCAACCUCUUCCUACAUGCAACUUCAGAAUUCUUCUCACCCAAAAACUCAAGUUUGUACGGUGCACUGACUAACCGAUCUCCAUUAAGAACUUCCCCUAGAGCUUCCUUCUUCUCCUUAACAGGAGCUGUAAAAAAUACGCCACAGCUAUAUAAACUUACAAAAAAUUCACCUAUGAAACUAAGCAAUUUUACCAUCCAUACAUACCUGAUGAACAGAACGGAAGAUCAAAGUAUCUAUAUGUUUCACUGCCAUAUAUAGAGAGAGUAAUAGUUAGCUCAAACUAAAACAACAGAGUUAGUAAUUCAUCGAAAAUCGAGCUAGCAUUAUAAGCAUGGAUUGUUUCACUUAACAUUUAAGCAUUGAUCAAAGAUGAUCUACAUAAGAAGCUUAAACUACACUAACCAUCAACAACAUUCACUAAUUCAUAUAGACCUACGAAUUUGUAAUUCAAAUUCUCACUGUCCAAUUAUUACGAAUCCUAGCUCAAGAAUGUCAUUAUUCAGGUAAUCAAAAUUCAAAUUUGAAUCAGAAACACUAAAAGCGAAGAGAUCUCCAUGCAAUUAAUAUCAAAAUUCAGAAAAAACGUGAAAUCAGUGAAAAUCGAAAGCUCAGAUCUGAAGAGUGUGAAUAAGAUUAUCGCACAGACCUGGGAUUAUGAAACGGACCGACUUUGUUAGCGUAAAGAGGAACAUCAUCACCGACCUUGUAACGGUGAUCGGAACCGUCAGAGAUAACCGGAGAAACGCCGGAGAGGAAGAAGAACACUAGAAGAAGCGACGUCAUCGAAUGCAAUAGUACCAUUUGAGAUUAGAGAGAAAGAAAGAGAGAGGUUUAAGCGGUUGGGUCGAUGAUGAUGAUGAUGAUCAAUUUCAUGAUUAUGACUUAGAGAUAAGACUGAUUUUUGUUCUCCGCAUCGCAAGUCAUGAAAUUUUACACUUUUGUAACGAAACCACGAUUUGUCACUUUUUAUUUUUCCCAAGGUUUAUUAUAUUUUUUUAUAUUUGAAUUUAUCAAUAAUAAAUUAUUUUAUUAUUUAUAUUUUUUUAAUAAUAAAAAAUUUAUUAUGGAGAUAUUGAUUUAUGUAUAUUAAUCAUAAUGAUAUUCCAACUAACUAAGAUUAGGUGUUGGGAUUAGCGGAAACUACAAAAACUAGGAGUAAAAAACACUGCACUAUUUUUGUAUAAUUUGUAGACAUGUGUAAAUUACUUCAAAGAGAAAGUGUAGGAGGAACUGACUCGUUCUACAAAUAGACCAAUUUGUUAAACGUUAAGUUUUUUUCAUCAGAACUUCAAAGAUUCGCAACUCGGUUUAUAAUUUAGCUUAGUUGUUUUUUUUUUUCUCGGUUUUGGUUUAAUCAAUCAUGAGUUUUACGUUGGAUUUUUUUUUUUAUGUUCAGUUAAUUGGAGAUGGAUUUACAACCAAACUAAUACUUUGUUGUUAAUAUAUCUUAAAAAAUGUUGUUAAUAUAUUUCUUUUUGGACAAUUUGUUUUUCUUUUUCUUGGAAUCACUAAAAACAUAUGUUAGUUUACAAUUGAGUUUUGUGCAAAAAAAAAAACACAGACACUAAUUCGCCAAUUUUUGCAUUACGUAUUAUUUUUGACUUCAUAUGAUUAAUUUGCAUUUAUUGGAAAUGAAUAAAGUUGCAAAAAUUUGCGAGUUAGAGGUUUUUUUGGCACAAAACCCUUUAAAAUUCAAUCGAUAAAAAAGCUUACGUAGUUAUUGAUUCAAUGCACUUUUUUCAUUUCAACUAGACAAAGCGUAAUAGGUCUACCAUCUGAGAUUUAAAGAAAUGAACAAUGUACUAAGUAUCUCAAUUGUAUAAACAAAUAUGAGGCAUCAUCAAAAAGGAAAAUAUGGAAGAGAAGCCAAGUAUGAUACAACGAAAUGAUGCAUCGGAAUUACUUCAUCCACCGUAAAGAAUGCUUUAAUCUUGGAGUCUUAAACAAACUUCUCCAAAAGUGCAACUCUUUCAUCGAAAGCAACACAUCUAUUCGCAACCUUCCCCAUCGUGAGUUGAACUGAGAUUUGUGGUGUGUGUCUGUCAAAAGUAGAAGAGUCUCCUUGAGAAUGUUAACCAAAUAUGAUCUAUUCCCAAGCUUCCCCAUCGUGGUCCCCUUCUCAAAACCUAAGUAUGCCAAGAAAGCCUACCAUAUUUUAUCGACCAAAACAAUCUCACAAACGCAGCAAGACCCAUCAACCCAAGAUGCCAAAAAUUUCGAACAAUUGAUCAGCAGCAUCCAAUGUACCAUAAGAUUUUUGUUCCAUGUUGAUGAACAUUACCAGAGAUAUAGCCAUUACUAUUUUAUUGCAAAUUCAUGCUCCAAGGUAGAUGAAUUAUUAAAACUAUAAUUCUUCUUUAUCCUUAACAUGUCACAUACCAGUUAUAUCUAUAGCACGACCAUGUAAGCCGCUUAGAUCAUAGAUCACUUCAAUAUCUUUGCCAAUGACUAAGUUUUUAUGAUAAUCUGCUUGUACAUUAUGAACAAAAACAAAUUUGAAAUGCAUGAAGAACUAAUAAUUAAAAAAAUAUUAAAAUUCAUAAACUAGUCACUCCAUAGAUGCCACUUUUUCUUUUUACCUGUUUUAUAAUUUAUUUCAAUUUAUGACUAAACUAAACCCAUUAGUUUGUUUCAACUUUUAUCAAAUGCUAGAUAAAUUACCCGUGCGUAUUAUAUAUAUGUCCUGUUGAUAAUAUUUAGUAGGUAUUAUAUAGUUGUGUUUGAUUUGAUCUUGAAGCAAGAAACAUAAUUGAAAAUUUCUAGUGGAUAUCAAAAUAAGUGAAAGUGGAGAACAUUUUAAAUAAAUUUAAAUUCCUAUUCGAUGCAUAUAUUUGAGACAUAAACAUAAAAAAAUCUAUAUAUAUAUAUAUAUAAUGGGAGAGUCUUCUCUCCAUCUAGCCUAUCCACCUAAGCAACACAAUUUAUUAUAACAUUAAAAUAAAUUAAAAACAUUCAUUUACUGCAUAUUUGUGUGAUUUAUAAUUAAUAAAAAACAUGAAUUAUAUAAAAUAAAUGAGAUGUUAAUAUAAUAAAUAUAAUAUUAUUAAAAUUUUAUUAGUAGUAAUAAUAUAAUUCAACUGUUAUCAGAUAAAACUUAAAAAUGAUCAUAAAUUUUAAAUGUGUUAAUGAGUUUUCGAAUAAAAAUAAUUUAAAUGCAUGGUGAAAAGAAAUAUAAAACUAAAUUUAUGCAAUUCCAUAUGUAAAAUUUUAAACAAGAAGAUUAAAUUAAAGUAAAACAUUAGUUUCUAAGAACAAUAUACUACAUAUUUUUAUUUAUUUACAUAAAGAAAUAACAAAAAAUAUUAAAUUCAACGUAAAAUUUAUAAUUUAAGAAGAAGACAUUGUAAAAGUCACAUUUUAUCAUGUGAAAUUAUAAAAACAAAUCUUAAAAAUUUUAAAACAUUACCAUCCAUCUUUAAAAAAAUAAAUAAUCAAUGAUCACAUUAUUAAUGAGUUCUACAACAAAAUAUACAAAAAAUGAUAUGUAAGCUAUUAGAAAAAAUGUGAUAUGUAAUUUGUGUAUCAUAUUCUCACGGUGAACUAUAAUUUCAUAACAUGAUCAAAAAGAAAAACAAGUUUGGUAUUUCAUCAAUUAAAUCAAAUAUUUUUAACCUAAAAAUUUGAGUAUUGAAAGAUAGGAAAAAAAAAUAUAGUUAUGAUAUGUCUCGAAAAUCAAUUCACAGUGCAAUAUAUAUUAUAUGUGAGUCAAUAGAAUGUGAAAAGAAAAUAGAUGUCAAGAGGCAAUGAGUUUAUCAUAGAAGAUGACGAGAGAAUUGGUAGUUAAAAGUAUUUGAAAAUAAAUUUGUAAGACUUAGAAAGAUAAUGCACAUGAGUAAAGGUAAAAUGUUUGAGAUCUCAUUUAUUGUGUGAAACGAAUGAGGUUUUAGAGAAAUAAAUGACAUACAUUAUUAAACAGAUUAUUAGAUUCAAAUUUGGGCUUAACCAUUUAGCCAUGUAAUUAAAGUGAUAUAAGAUAGAAAAAAUUGAUGACUUAUGCGAGAAUUCUUUUAUGGCGCGAUGCACUUGCUUCGAUGGGUAAAACAAGCUCGCUAAAACUGUUCUAACAACAUGGUAAAAUAUAUGUACAUUUACACUAAAUAAUGUUCAUGAAACUCGGUAUAUUCGCAUUUUAUAGGGAAUAAUAUUAUGUUAGUAUCAAUAUUUAAUCAUAAAUAAUAUCUACAAUUAGGUCAACAAUCGAUAAUUAAUUUCAAAAAAAUUUUAAAAAUGUCUUCAUGGAAUAUGAAUAAGAAAGAAACUCUUUUAGAGAUAAAGAUAAAUGGACCAUUAGAUGGGGUCGAUACCUUUUAUUCUUUUAGCGAAUUUUUAAAGUGAUCUUUGUUAUAACAUGAUAUAUAUCAAAAUAUUUAUUUGUCAAGGAAAUAUUAUCAUCGACAUUAUAUAUGUUGUAUAUCGCUUAUUAUAUUUAUGCUCAAAUAUUUUUUUAAAAAAUUUUACGAAAUACUAUAUUUUAUGCUGAAAAUUUUAUAUUAAUAGAAGAAAUUUUUAAAUUAAAAUCCUGCGCAACGCGCGGAUACAAAAUCUAGGCAAGACUAUUUAUUAAAUAGAAGAAUCCUCUCUCCAUCUAACCUAUCCACCUAAGCAAGACUAUUUAUUUUACGUUAAAAUAAAUUUAAAACAUUCAUUUAAUACAUACAUUAUUUAUGUUACUUAUAAUUAAUAGAAAAUUUAUAUUUUAAAUAAAUAAAAAUGAAUUAUCUAAAAUAAAUAAGAUGUUAAAAUAACAAAAAUAAUACUCUAAAUUUUUAUUAGUAAUAAUAAUAUAAUUCAACUUUUAAAUGAUAAAAAUUAAAAAUGAUCAUAUUUCAAAAUUUUAAAUGUAUUAAUGAGUUUAAGAAUGGAAAUAACUUUUAAAUGCAUGGUAUAAUAAAACUAAAUUUAUGUAAUUUUAUAUGUAAAAAUUUAAACAAUAAAAUACAAUUUAAAGUGAAAAAUUAGUUUCUUAGAACAACAUACUACAUAUUUUAUUUAUUAAUAAAUUUUUACUUAAAUAAAAAUAAAAGAUUAUUAAACUCAACCUAUAUUUAUAAUUUAAGACGAAGAUAUUAUAAGAGUCAAACUUUAUCUUGUGAAAAUUUAAAAAUAAUCUUGAAAAUUUUAAAACCUUAUAAUCCAUCUUUUAAAAAAUAAAUACCUAUAUAUAUAUAUAUAUAUAUAUAUAUAUAUAUAUAUAUAUAUAAUAGGAGAGUCCACUCUCCAUGUAGCCCAUCCACCUAUGACCUAUGCAAGACUACUUAUUUUACAUUAAAAUAAAUUUAAAACAUUCAUUCAAUACAUAUUUAUGUUACUUAUAAUUAAUAGAAAAUUUAUAUUUUAAAUAAAUAAAAAUGAAAUAUGUAAAAUAAAUAAAAUGUUAAAAAAAUAAAAAAAAAAAAUACUGUAAAUUUUUUAUUAGUAAUGAUAAUAUAAUUUUAAAUGAUAAAAUUAAAAAUGAUCAUAUUUCAAAAUUUUAAAUGUGUUAAUAAGUUUUAGAAUAGAAGUAAGUUUUAAAUGCAUGGUAUAAUAAAACUAAAUUUAUGUAAUUUUAUAUGUAAAACUUUAAACAAGAAAAUAAAAUUAAAGUGAAACAUUAGUUUCUUAGAACAACAUACAACAUAUUUUAUUUAUUAAUAAAUUUUUACCUAAAGAAACAUAAAAGAUUAUUAAACUCAACCUACAUUUAUAAUUUAAGACGAAGAUACGGUAAAAGUCACACUUUAUCUUGUGAAAUUAUAAAAAAAUCUUGAAAAUUUUAAAAUCUUAUAAUCCAUCUUUUAAAAAAUAAAUAAACAAUGGCCACAUUAUUUAUGAGUUCUACAAUAAAAUAUAUAAAAAUUGAUACGUAAGCCGUUAAAAAAAAGUGAUAUGUAAUUUGUAUAGCAUAUUCUCAAGUAGAACUACAACUUUAUAACAUGAUCAAAAAGAAAAAUAAGUUUGAUAUUUCAUAAAUGGAAUCAAAUGCUUUUAACCCAAAAAAUUGAGUAUUGAAAGAUAGUAAUUAAGGAGAAAAUAAUUAUGAUAUGUCUUGAAAAUAAAUUCACAGUCUAGUAUAUAUUAUAUAUGAGUCAAUAGAAGGUGAAAAUAAAGUAGAUAUCGAGAGGCAACGAAUGCAUCAUAAAAAAUGACGAAAGAAUUGGUAGUUAAAAGUGUUUGAAAAUAAAUUUUUAAAAUUUAGAAAGAUAAUGCACAUGACUAAGGUAAAAUCUUUGAGAUCUCAUUCAUUGUGUGAACGAAUGAGUUCUUAGAAAAUACAUGACAUACAUUAUUAAAAAGUUUAUUAGAUUCAAAGUUGGGCUUAACCGUUUGGCCAUGUAAUCAUGGAAAGUAAGAUAAGAUAGGCACAUUUUGAUGACUUAGUCGAGAAUUCUCUUAUGACACUCUGCACUAGCUUCGAUGGGUAAAACAAGCUCGCUAAACAUGUUCUAGCAACAUGGUAUUAUAGAUUUACCUUUACAUUAAAUAAUAUUCAUGGAACUCGGUAUAUUUGCAUUUUAUAUGGAAUGAUGUUAUGUUCGUAUCAAUAUUUUAUCAUAAAUAAUAUUUACAAUUAGGUCAACAAUCGAUAAUUAAUGUCAAAACUUUUAAAGAAAUGUCUUCAUAGAAUAUGAAUAAGAAAGAAACUCUUUUAGAGAUAAAAGAUCAUUAGAUGGUCGUCGAUACUGUUUAUUCUUCCCGCAAAUUUCUUAAGUGAUCUUUGUUACCACGUGAUUUAUAUCAAACUAUUUAUUUGUCAAAGAAACAUUAUUGUCGACAAUAUAUAUGUUAUAUAUUACUUCGUAAAAUAAGUUUAGUGUUUAUAUAGAUUUAUAUUUUAAAUUUGAAUUAUUAUAUUUAUGCUAAAUACUUAUUUUUUAAAUUUUAGUGAUUAUAUUUAUGCUUAAAAAUUUAUAUUAAUAGAAGAGAUUUUAAACUAAAAUCCUGCGCAACGCGCAUUUACAAAAUCUAGUAUAUCAUUAAUUUUAGUGGCGGUAAUUAAUCUUUGCAUACUCGAGAUGAAAGCAUUACCAUUUUUUGCCUUCGUUAAUUUAUGUUUCAUACUUUUCCUAAAUGUAAACCCAUAACAAUGUAUUAGUGUAUUCUCCACAACAAUGUACGUUUGGUUUUGUCAACACUUGGUGUCAACGGACCAAAUUUGCAACUUCAUGGUUCAUCUUUACAUUUUUGUUAUGCAAAGCCAUGCUUUCUUUUUCAUUGAACGUUUUGAUUUGAAAACCAAAUAAGUAAUGAGACAUAUAGAAAAUUUCCAUUACAAACAGUAUUGAAAACAAAGAAUAUAGCGUCAAACACUGAGCAAACUGGUCCAAGUUUAGAAACCAACAAUAGCUUACAAACUAUAAAGGGGCAUCAAUGAUCAAAAUAUAUACAUAUGACGACUGUGGCAAUGUGUGAAAAAUUCGAAACCUGACAUAAAAAGAGCACUAUAAACCAUAAAUUUGUAAGAAACACAACUCAAAAACUUCAGAAAAAAAGAGAAGAAAAGUAGUUUGCUUGUUGGUUCUUUGAGGUGCUCUAAACAUAAACAUAAUAAUAACAUGUCCGAAAUACAGAUCAUAAUUCUCUGAUUAUAGAGAUAUCUUUUCAGGUUUAAGGUAAUUUAGUUGGCUCUGCGGAUUCAUAAGCAGCAUCAGCUGAAGAAGUAUCUAUGUCGUUGAGACCCAACUCCUCGUUUUGCUCCCAUGAUCUCUCGUACUCUUCAACUGUAGUUCAAAAACACAACAACAACAACAUUUGUUACUUGAAGUUGAAACCCAACACUCCUAUAUCCUAAUUGAAUCUUCACUCCUAAAUCAAGUCAAUUUCAUAAUGCGGUUUACGAAAUCCAAAAGCAGAAAUCAAAUAAUAUUGUUUCUUCUUGAUCUAUAACAACUGUGUAUAACAGCCUUCCGUGAGAAAAACAUGGAAGGAACAGAUUUAGGAGGGGUUAUUGGUUCAUGGAUUUAUAAGGAAUUAGUUUAUGAAACGGAUAUGAAAUCAGCGGUCCCGGUCCUAAUAUUUGUUUCGAUCCAACUUAAGGUUGUAGUCAAGGAACCACUGAGGAACUUACAUGUGAGUUGAUGAUCAUCUUUGAUAUCAUCUGUUAAUGGUGAAAUAAAGGAAUUUGCUAAUUCGUCAUCAAGAAUCAAUGUCCACGUCUGUUCUAAGCUUAGAAGCUGCAAGAGAUAAGAAAAGAAAAACAUCUUUAUACUAAAUACCAGAUCUUAGUGCUUUGCGUCCUCUUGAACAUCAAGAACAAGAGAAGGCUCAUGCUUCACAUAAAUUAAAUAAUAGUUCCUACCUUUGUUAGUCUGGCUCCAAAUUCUUUCCACUUGUUAAUCUUACUCUGCUCCAAACUGUCACCAAAAGUGAAUCCGUGGACUCUCGCUAAGCCUGUGAGAACCCAUGCCAUACUUAGAUCAGUAGAUAAGAGGUAUAAAGGGCGAGAAUCGUAAUGCUUCCAUUAUCCAGACAAUGAAAGCUUGGUAAGGAAGAAUAUAGGAUAGUGAUUUAUGCCAUGGUUCUCUAAAUCUGUUCUUCUUUACUUAAAAACGAGUAAGACACAUGAUUCACACUAGACAAGGAUAAUGUUUGGAUGAUGAAAGGUCAAACUCACUUUCUCUGAUCUGUGUGACCAACCCUUCCACUGUUGUUACCAUUCCACCAAGUGUACCACCAGCUAGCUCCAGAUCAAGUUCUGGGAUUUUCACUCCAGCAGUGUCUGACUAAUACACGCAACAGACAAAAUGAACCUUUAAUGACAUAUGGGAAGGUGUUGCUCCAAACUUAAACUAUAUACAUUCUGUAAGGGUAUAUACUUUAAUCGUAAAAGUGAUAUUCUCAGCUACUUUAAGAUACAUAUAACCAUAUGAAGAAAUCUCUCUUGGUCCACCACACAUCCAACAUUAUUACUAAAGAGGUUACUGGUGAAAUACUACAGAAAACAAACAAACUGAAGCAAAAAACUAACCUUGAUCACAUCCCGGCUAAGGUCAGUGAUGUUCUUCACAGAGAGCGUAAUUUUCUUUCCCUUUUCAGGAAUUGCACCACCAGGCUUCAACUGUUCACAAUUACACACAAAAAAAUGAAUAACCUAAAGACCAGGCCAGUGUCUGCAAAAUCUCUCAAACCAAUGGAAGCCAACCUCAGAAUUUCGAUAGCCACAAUCAUCACAUGUAGAUGCCAUGACAAUAACCUCCUGAAAGUACGGGAUUUCUAUAUUAUGUCAAGGGGUAAACAGCAUCAAGGAGUUCACCAACAAACACAAAUACGUAAAACUUGUUUCAGAAAACCAAGGAACGGGCACAGAUUUUUUGUAAGGAUACUAGUCACGAACAUCCGUGUUUCACACAGCUUUGCACAUGCUCCGCAAGUUGAAGGAAAAGUCAUCACCUAUUAAAAAUGAGCAAUAGUAAAGUUAUAUGAAAACAUCAUUUAAUUUUUAAACUUUCAAAAAACAACCUUUUGACACUGAUUUCUUAUCUCAAGUGAUCAUAACCUUCACCAUUCAACAAAAAUUUUCCAAAAUUUUCAGGGUCAGAAGUUACCUCUUCAGGUGCAGUGUAUCUAAACAAGUUAUCCGAAAUAUCAGUGCUAUUACUCUGUGCAAUUGCUCGAUGACCAGCUGUUGCUCCGAUAGUUCCAUGAGGUAGAGCAGUUGUUUGAGUAGAAGAUGUUUCAAGACUUCUUUCCGACUGUCCAGUCUGAGAUGGGUUAGUAAGAUAUCCAAGAGUUGCUUGUUGUUCGGGUGUUCGCUCAUAGAACUUGAUUGUUAGAGAGGGAUCUAAUGAUGGAGCAUGUCUGUCAUGUGUUAUAAACUUGUGUCAUAAGCAGAUAAAGAAAUAUUUCAUUUUAACAUGGUAUUUCCAAUUCCAAGUUGAAUAUCCUUACGGGUUCUCAAUGAAACUGUUUCCAGCAGGAUCAUCCAAAAUGAAGGUGAAUGAUGUCUCUGCUUUAGCACAAGCUCUCAGUUUAGACAAGAAUUGGUCUAUUGCUUCCGCAGUUUUAGGAUCUACUUUCUGUGUCAAGCAACAUAUAUAGUUUAACUAUCCUGACUAGAAAACAAUCAAACUUAACAUAUAAAAAAAUGUAGAGCUCCAAGUCAGAAUUUACCCUGCGUUCUUCUUGAAGGGCACUAAGUUCAUCCGCAGCCCGGGAUAGUAUCCCUUCCACCUAGAAGUUAAACAAAAAGGGGGGAGUCAUUGACAUGAAAGUGGAAAAAGAAAACCAAAAUCUUAAACGCAGUUGUAUAGGUUUAUCUCCACUAAGAAUGAGUUAAACGACAACAAGAUUAUUUCCUAACUGCCAAUACCAGUUUGAAGCUAGCAAAGUAACACAGAUAGGGCUCCCAUGGAAAUCUUCUCAAUAGUCAUUAAAUGCAUCACUAAUUAGUUCUCAUCAGUAGACCAGACGAUUUUUAGGUUGUUCAAAGAAAUAACUACCCCCAAAAAUGAACUGUUCGUAUCAAGAUGGUUAAGAGGACUUACCGUAGAUAAACUACCACGUUGGGCCUCUGGUGGAAUUUCAAAAUCCAGUUCAGGAAUCUGAAUACAUGUAUUCAUGCAAACUACUAUUAGUUUCCAGCUCAAAUAAGUCCAGUUUUUAUAACAUAAGAAGGAAAAUAAUUCACAGUUUUCAGGGAGAUUGGGAAGCUGUUUCUUAUAAAUAUGCAGUAAGCUGGCGCGGUUAAAGAAAUCAGAGUAUUUUGAAUCCGAAGGACCGAUGACAUUCCCAGAAUCAGUAAGAUUACUCACCUUAAUAGUGGCUGAUUCAGACUUUACAACUUGCCGGUCAAAUAUCUGCAUUUAGACAGAAAUAAGAAGAUAAAAUAUGCUUACGGAGCAAUAGACAACUAAAAAAGGCUACAUUCUACCUCAUGAGUGCAUCUCCAAAUGAAAAAAUGAAAGACGGAAAUAAAUUCAAAAGAACAAAAAUUUAGAUUUGAAUCAAUGCACCAACCUUCACAUCGCCAGCUGAAACCUCAAGAUGGUAACUGCAUCCUCGGGGUUGAAUCUCACCAGCAAACUGAACUUCAUUAUUCCUAAAAAAUAUAUCAGAGAUCAAUGAAAGGCUUAUCUUUUCAAUUGAGGAAAACAGAAAAUAUUUAGUGAGUUAGUUUUCAAAACCAAUUCACCCUGCUCAAAUCGAAUACUUAAAAAGCAUCAAAGUCAUAAGAAGUUCUACCUUUCUCCGCAGUGCUGACAUUCAAAUGCAGAUAUUAAGACCUGUAACCAGAAGAAUGUUAGCAGGAAGCUUGUAAGCUAACACAAGGUGGAGAAAAGUCUAAAUAAAACGUCUAACCAACAAAACAUGUUUCUUAAUAUCAAAUAAUAACUUUGUGUAUUUUUUUGGUUUGGUCAAGUCACAGUGACUGGAGUAUGGAAAAUCUGAAAUUAAAAAAAUGAACAAAAUUUAGUGUUCUUUAAAAAAAAAGUAUGACAUACCUUUCUGAAGUGAGGUAUUAAGGUCAAUAGAAAUCUAGUUGUUCCCUGGAAAAGAAAUAAAGAGUGAUCAGGAGAAGGACCAAGAAAACCUCAUACGACAGACUUUUUUUACAACCGAAGUAAAGAAUUCGGCGAAAAUGCACUAGAAACUGAAAGUUCACCAUACAAAGUUUCUCCAAUUGGUUGCUACCGAUCCAAAAAUAUCACUAUGUUUCCCAUCAAAUUUAUCAUACCAUCACCAAAGACGUAGCCAAUAAGUUGUGUUUCAUCCCGCUAUAGUUCACUUCAUAACAAUCUCAAGAACCAUUGGAUUGCAGAAAGAACUCAUGUUACUACAACCAUGUACAUGUACCAUUUAGAAACAAGCUCAAACUAAAAAGCAAAGACGAAACCAAAGCUAGCCUGUAUCAUAGACCUAUAUCAAUUAACACAUGUUACAACAUUUCUUCUGUGACAAAGGAUAAGGACUACAUAACAACAUCAGGAAUCUCGAUAAAACUUCGUAAAGUUCCUCUAAAUCUCAGAAUACUUAAGUUUCUCUAUUUAUAACCUUCUCCCAUCUUAGAUUUGAUUAGCAGGCUCUAAAUUGGAAGAUUUGAAAGGCAUAGACAUGGUUUCACUUCUGGUAAAUUUACAAAGCAAUGAGAAAACAAAUCCAGUCACUGCAAACUCCGCGUUCUACCAAAUUCUCUAAGCUUAUACAGAGAAGUCCAAUUGUAAAAUCAGUUGGAACAUACACAAACAGACCUCAGCUACAAACAGAGACACUAUCCAAAUGUAUGUGUGAGAGAUAUAUAGAAAGAGACAUACAUUUUCACCGCAGCGCAUACACAUGCUCUCAACUACAUAGAGAGGAGCACCAAUGGAAUGAUCAGCAGAAACAGCUUCAACCACCGAUCCAACAUCGAUUUGUUCAUCAUUCCCAUUGUCCAUCACCUCCAAAAGUUUCUCCAAACAAUCCCAAGAAGUUCAAAAAACCUAUUAUUAGGAAAAACAAAGCUAAAAAGGAUGAAACUUUGUGCACCAUGAACAUGUAUUUGUUCUUACAAGAAUAUGCCAUAACAUUAAGAAUCUAUAUAAGAGCUUUGUUCAAAGCUCAAAGCAGAGUGGAAGAGAGUGUUCAAGAGUUCAAUUUCGUCAAUCUCAAAAGAACAUUAAGAAAAAAAGGAACAAAAUUUGAUACCAAUUUCCGAUGGGACAAGAGAAUAUGUGUAUCAAACAAGAAAACGUACCGAGUAAAAGAGACAAAGCUUGAAAUUUUACAAAAAUCUGGAGAUUACAGGCUUAUUAUGAGAAAGCAGAGAAACACCAAAGAGCUCUAGAAACGGCGAGAGAGUUGAAGAAGAACCCACGUGAGCAUCACGUGUUUGUCUUUUGUUUAAUGUUUAUGUUCGGGUCGGGUUACCCAAUCCUACUUGUACCCGAUCCAAAUAUUAUCUACCCUGCUACAUCAAUUCGCCGAUACCCGAAUGUUCCGGUUCUCUCAGUUCGGUUAAUCGGGUUAAACCGAGAUCCCAGGGCUAGGUGAAUUCUUCUUCUUCUGCUUCUGAUUCUCGCCGGCGAAAAACAAGUGAUGGAGGAAGUAGUAGUAGUUGCAGAGCCACCACCGAAGAUUACUACCGUUGUGGAAUACGAAGAGGAGAUUGAAGAAGAUGAUGACGGCGACGAUCUCUCGCUUUCGUCAGAUUCCGAUAUCGCUGAAGCUCUUGAUUGGCUAGACGGUAAAGACGAUGACGAGCUAAUUGGUGGUGGCUUCUCUCUUCAUGCUCGUCGUCCUAAUGCUCACGGUGGACAUGGUUCACGCCCUAACUCUAGUGCUCUUCAACCUAUAUCAAAUAAAGCCCAGAAGCUUACUAGUCACGUUCGUGCUUCUCCUUUAGAGGUACCGUUUGUUAUCGAAUAUGAAAAAGCUUCUGAAUUGUUCACAGUCUCUGCUCAAAUGAACAUUGAGAUAAUUGGUGAUGCAGGGAUGGGAAGGAAGAGUUAAAGUUGGGAUGUCGAAUUCUGUGACAACUGCGAUUCGUGGAAGUCUAAGAGAGACAGAGAUUGGGAGAAGUAGGAACACUGAUAAAGCGGACAGGGCAACAGUUGAACAGGCUCUUGAUCCAAGGACACGUAUGGUUUUGUUUAGAAUGCUUAAUCGGGGUGUGUUUAAUGAUGUUAAUGGCUGUAUUUCCACAGGCAAAGAAGUAUGUAUGUCCUAUAUACACUACUCUCGAUCUGUUUUGAUUCUUUUGUUGAAAGCAUUCUCUUUUAUUGUCUUUCAGGCUAAUGUUUAUCAUGCCACGAAAUCUGACGGUUCGGAACUUGCAAUAAAAGUGUACAAGACAUCUGUUCUUGUUUUCAAGUGAGCUAUUACAUGAAUAAAAAUGACUUGAUGAUUUUGUUUUAGACCCUUUUUUUUAACUGUGAUGAUUUCAGGGAUCGAGAUCGAUAUGUACAAGGAGAUUACCGUUUUAGAUAUGGCUACUGUCGUCACAAUCCCCCGCAAGAUGGUCAAGACAUGGGCUGAAAAAGAACAGAGAAAUCUUAAGAGGUAGUAAUACCUACACUUGUUUCACAUAUAUGUAACAAUAAUUCUGGUAAUUUCUUAGUUGGUUAUAUACAUGUUUCAUUGGCAGGCUUCAUGCAGCAGGAAUUAGGUGUCCAGCUGUUAUACUUCUACGCCUUCAUGUUCUAGUCAUGGAGUUUAUAGGUUCGCUCUAAUGCAUUAUCUUCUGUUUUUAAUCACUGAUUCCGCGCAACACUCUUCUCUGUUACUCUGAUUCAUUAGCAUAUUUCAUUGAAAGUUGAAACAGAGAAAUGAUGAAGUAACGAUUUUCCAGCUACCAAAGAUUAUUUAUAUUUGCAGGGAGGGAUGGUUGGGCUGCACCGCGUCUCAAGGAUGCUGCAUUAUCUCUGGACAAGUUGCGCGAGUGCUACCUAGAGGUAUGUCUUAUGUUCUCAUUUAGAGGGUCCUGAGUGUAUUAUACUUAGACCUGAUAGAUAUGUCUUUGAAACACAUCAGGUGGCAUUACAGCCACGAUUAAUCUCUUAUUAUUUUUUUUGCAUUUCAGUUGAUAAUUCAAAUGCGAGUAUUAUAUCAGAAGUGUAAAUUGGUGCAUGGGGAUCUUAGUGAGUAUAACAUACUAUAUUUUGAGGUGAGUUCUGAUUUAUCUCUUAAGGAAUCUCUUCGGGUCACUUAUUUGACGUUUCCUGGCAGCAAAAUAUAAUGAUAUCAUCUUGACUUUUCAGGGGCACCUUUAUAUAAUUGAUGUUUCUCAAUCUGUGGAUCUGGACCAUCCUCUUGCACUCAACUUUCUACGGGAAGAUUGUGACCAUGUCUCGGUAAGUGUUAAUAGUAUCCUGUUUCAACAAUGCUUAAUUUGACCGGAAUAAGGUGUCUGAUGUGUGGAUUACAAUCACACACAGGAUUUUUUCAAAAAACAUGGUGUGGCUGUUAUGACGAUACCAGAGCUAUUUGACUUCAUAGUUGACCCGACAAUUUCAGACGAAAAUGUUGAUAGCUAUUUGGAAGAGGUAAUGUAUAACUUUUUAUUACUUGAAAUUUAUUCUUUGAAUCAGGUUUAAAGCUGUAACGUUUCUAUUGGUAAAGUCAAAUUAAUGAAUUUAUGUAACAAUGGGCAGGUGCAACUAAAAGUUAUAGAGCGAGGAGAGAUAUCUGUAGAGGAUGAAAUCGCGGAUUCAGUAUUCAUGAAGGUUAGUGAAGUGUAUCCAGUCUCGAUAGAAUUGAUCUGUGAACUGUCUCUGUAGAAUUAUCUUAUCUUAUCAAUUUGUAAUGAUAUGAUCAGUCAUACAUACCGAAAUCUCUGGAUGCUGUGAACAACCCAGAGGCUGAUGUAGCGAAGAUAACAAGCGGGCAGGAUACAGGAGACAUGCUGUACCAAACGAUAACGGGGCUUAAGGAUGCUCUUCCUAAAGUAGACGAGCAGCAAAUAGAGGUGAAUGCUGAAGAGGAAGAAGAAGAAGAAGAAGACGGAAGUGGAGAAGAAAGCGAAGAAGAGAAUGAAGGAGAAUUGGGUCCUGAAGACAAGAAAGCUGCAAGGAAAGAGCACAAGAAGAAAGUGAAAGAGGAGAAACGUGAGUCCAGGAAGACGAAAACACCCAAAUCUGUCAAGAAGCGAAAGAAGAAAGUCUCUAAACCCCACAAGACUCGUUAAUCGGAACGAGUAAGUUCUUGUAAUAUUCAUAGUACGAUUAUGAUAGAUCCAUUAGAGAAGAAUGUGAUGCCAUUAAAGACAUAAUAAACAGAGAAACCUGGAAACAGAGCAAAACCACAAAAAAAAAACAGAUUAGUGAAUUGAUUACGUAGUCGGUUUAAGAUAACCAAACCAAAAUAACCGGUAUAAGCCAAGAACACACUUCAUUACUUCAUCAAUGGAAACUCACUGAUGAACAAAUUAAGCUCGUAGAAAAAGCUGGUUUCGGUUUCUUUCGCAAAAUUGGUCCAAUGAGUUUAAAAACAAUUCGCUAAUCUCUGCGUUGAGCGUUGGAGAAGAGAAACCAAUACUUUUCACCUUCCUUUAGGAGAAAUGACUAUAACUUUAGAUCAAGUUGCUUUAGUACUUGGGCUUGAUAAUGAUGGAGAUCCUAUUGUUGGUUCUAAAGUUGGUGAUGAGGUUGCUAUGGAUAUGUGUGGUAGACUGUUAGGGAAGUUACCUUCUGCUGCUAAUAAAGAAGUUAAUUGUUCUAGGGUUAAGCUUAAUUGGCUUAAAAGAACUUUCUCUGAGUGUCCUGAAGAUGCUUCUUUCCAUGUUGUUAAAUGUCAUACUCGAGCUUAUCUUUUGUAUCUUAUUGGUAGUACUAUUUUUGCUACUACGUACUGAUGGCGAUAAAGUCUCUGUUGAAGUGAUGGAGAGUGUGAAAGAUACGUUCACUAAUAGUUUGACGAUUGGAGGAUGGCAAGAGGUGGCGGAUAACAGUGGUUAGGGAAGCGCCGUCGUCGGAAUGAACAAACUCCUAUGCCGAACAAUGGUGGUGGACCUGGUGGUAAUUAAUGAUCUUUCGUCUCUUCUGCUUCCAAAGGACGACGCAUGCAUGAAGCCUUUUUGUAUUAGUUUAUUUUCAUCUUAAAAAUGUUGCAUUGUUUAUGUAUAUGUAUAUCAUCGGCCAUUUUGUUAGGAGUACAGAAGAUUAGAUACAAUGUUACACCUUACAUAGUUACCAUUCUAAAAAAUACAAUAAUAUAAGAAGAAGAAACUUGUGACUAGCUUAAAUAGUUUAAUUGCAUCAAAUAAGGUAAAGAAUGUGCUAGAACGUAUCGUAUCUUGUGGUAGCACAUUACAAAACUUACAGGUCCAUCGAAACACAUAACUCUGAAGUAGAGUAGGUUUUGGAACCAUUGUGAUUACUUUGUUGAUUACUUGAGUCUAGAGAUAUAUAUGUAAGCCAUAUAACCCCAUUUAAGUUUUACCCCAUUUAUCCUCCCAUUUAAACCCAUUUAAGUUUCAUUGAUCCAUUUAAACCCAUUUGGACUCAUAUACCAUUGUUUUGUUCAAAACAAUAAUAUAGUCUUUUUUUUUGUGCAAAACAAUAAUAUAAUCUAUACCAUUGUUUUGACGGAAAUUUUUUUGGCGGGAAAAUUUUGACGGGAUUUUGUUUUGGCGGGAAAAUAUUAACGAUGAAUUUGUGAUUUUCUGUAUCAAUUUAUAAUUAUUUAUUAAUUUCAAAAAUCAAAAAUCAAGGUGCUAGUUUUGUCCAAUAAAAUUUUGAGUGCUAUUCUUGUCCCAAAAACUUGAUUUGGAGCUAUAAAAGCCAAUUUCUCAAUUAUGUACUUGAUUAUUUAAAAUUUACAAAUUAUUUUAUUAAAUUUAAUUGAUAAAUAAUGAUAUAACUGUACUUUUUCUAUUGUUGAAAAAUAAUAUAGUUUUUUUUUUGUCGUUAAAAAUAAUAUAGUUUUGAGAAAAACACAAUUUUGCGGUUUUGGCGUGAAAAAACACAGAUUUGUAAGGACAAAAAUUUGGUGACAAAACACAAUUUCAUUUCUUCAUGAUUUUGGCAAAAAAAAAAACGAUGUUUUGUGGAAAAUAGUUUUUGGUGAUUAAACGCAAUUUUGCGUUUUUGACGGAAAUUCACGGGUUUAUGGUUUAGGCGGAAAACAUUAUUUUAGGAUAUGAGAUGCUUUGGUGAUAAAACGACAUUUUGCGAUUUUUGCGGAAAAACACGGUUUUGCGAUUUUGGCGAGAAAACGCAGGUUUACGGUUUUGGCAAAAAAACACGGGUUUGUGAUUUUGGCGGAAAACCACGAUUUUGCUAUUUUGGCGGAAAAACACGGUUUUACGAUUUUGACGGGAAAACACAAUUUUGCGUUUUUGGCGGGAAAACACCGGUUUACGAUUUUGGCGGGAAAAUACCAGUUUACGGUUUUGGCAGGAAAACACGGGUUUACGAUUUUGGAGGGAAAACACCAUUUCGUGGUGAUAAAACGCAAUUAUUUUAUUUUGGCGGAAAAAACACGGUUUUGCGAUUUAGGUAAAAAAACUUUGUUUUACAUAUUUAAAUCAAAAAUUGAAGUUAAGUAGAAUAAUUUAGUUCUAAUGUCUUUAAUAUAUUGGUUUUUUAUUUUAGUUAUUAAGACAUUAACCUUUUCUAAUAAUGAUAACUAAUGUAAAUGGGCUUAAAUGGGUACCCAUUUAUUUGUGUGAAACCCCAUUUAAUAAAUGAGUUUAAUUGGAGUAACCCAUUUAAUGUUUUCCUUCAAUGGGUUUAAAUGGGUUUAAAUAGGUUAAUUUUUCUUAUAUAUACUCAUUUAUUAAAUGGGGUUUAAUGCCCAAGUUAACAUCCUUACUUGAGUCACACAAAACCGCAUAGCUUCUUCUCCAUUAAAAGUUAGCUCUAUUAAAUAUAAUAAUCUAUGUGAAGAGAGAGUCUUUAAAUAGAGAUGGAAGGGACUUUAUUGUAGGUUGUGACAUCUAAGAGCAUCUCCAUUGGGAGUGUCUCACAUGAGUUUUUACUAAUUAAAAAACAAAAAAUAAUCAUAAAGGAAGAGAGAUGGUGAGAAACAUGUCUCUGCAGAGAAACUCUGCUUUACACAUGUCAUAUUUUAACAGGUUAAAUAGUUACUUUCUGAAUAAUUAUUUAAAUAAAUAAUAAAAUUAUAUCAUAGUUAUUAAAAUAUAAUAUUUUGAGACACGUUUAGAGUGUCUACCGAUAAAGAUGCUCUAACGUAGUGAGUUUGUUAGAGGAGAGUUAUAGAACAUCUCUUGAACAAAUCUUAAUUGUUAGGGUUAUUGAUAUGAGAUUUGUAUAUGCUAGGUUGUUUGGGUGUAAGUGGCUUGCAGGAGAGCUAAUUAGACAGAAGUAUAAGGACCACUCCUGUAAAACCCUAACUGUGUCAUAACAAGCAAAAGUCAAGGUGGUGGUGGUGAAUUGACCAUGGCUCACGUAUCACUCAAAGCACAAUGCCUUUUACCUCACUUACAACCGUAGUCUAGGAAGAAAGUUCGUCCAUCGGUUCAUUGUCCACUACAUUAAUUCAAUUUUAAAAUAUUUGCUUCAGUGAGAGAAGAAGAAAAGAUAAUAUAGCUCAUAUCAAACCUUCGCAAAGAAACCAACGAUUCAAUAACUACUAGCAAAAUACACAAGAAACCUGAUGAACAUACACUAGAAAAAUCAUUUGUCUGCAUAAAUCGAAAAGUUGGAAAAGGAGGCAAAGGAACGAGAGGGUGUAGACUACUCUCAACUGAAGCUAAGUGAAGAGCUCAUCGCUGAAGUCAACCGACUUAAGGUGGCAACUGGUGAGGGAAUGGCAAACCCCAGCCAGUUCGAGGGUUCAAUGUUGCAGCCAUUAGACCCAAACAUGUUCCAGCAGCAACUCAACAGCAAUGAGUUCAAUUUGCAACAACCAUUGGACCCAAACAUGUUGUAGCAGCAAUGCAACAUCAAUGAGUUCAAUUAGCAACAACCAUUGGACCCAAACAUGUUCCAACAACAACUUAACAUCAAUGAAUUCAACCAGCAGCAGCCAAACCAAGAUUUUUAUGGACAAACCUAAGGAAGUUGAGGUGGAUUUGGCAAUCCUAUUUGUUCAAGGAUUUGAAGAUUUAUUCAAGUUGUUUCAGUUUGUGUUUAAAAGGUCAAGUUGAGAGAAUGACAAUUCUAUCUAAGUGUUCCGCUUAGAUAGAUAUAUGAUUGUAUCUGUGAGAGGGUUCAGACAAUUGUGACCUUUUUGUUUUUUUUUUUCAAUAAAAUUUUGUCCUUUUUUAUUGAGAUUUAUUUAUAUUUUAUCCAAUUUGUUCAAUUUCAUAGAAAAACAUGAAAGUAGUCUUCUCAGAUGUUCCUUUUUCCGACUAGUGGAUAAUUGCUUUGGUCAACGCUCCAAAGAGUCGUCUUUUCUUUUAGUUCCUCCUUCUUUCGUUGCCCUUUAGUUCAAGGAGGAACUAAAAGUAAAGAUGAUUAUUUUAAGCGUUGUUCAAAGCAGUCAUCUACUGGUCGGAAAAAUGAACAUCCGAGAAGAUUAUUUUCAUCUUGUUUUUCAAUAAAAUUUAACAAAUUGGAUAAAAUAUAAAAAAAUCUCAAUAGAAAAGAACAAAGCUUUAUUGAAAAAAACAAAAGGUUACAAUUGUGUGAAUCCUCUCAUGGUUACAAUCCUAUAUCUAUCUAAGAAGAACAAUUUGUCACUCUCUCAACCUGACCUUUUAAACAUAAACUAAAACAACUUGAAUAAAUCUUCAAUCCUUGAACCAAUAGGAUUGCGAAAUCCACCUCGACUUUCUUAGGGUUGUCCAUAAAAAUCUUGGUUUGGGUGCUCUUGGUUGAACUCAUUGAUGUUAAGUUGUUGUUGGAACAUGUUUGGGUCCAAUGACUACUGUUGAUUGAACUCAUUGAUGUUGCAUUGCUGCUGGAACAUGUUUGGGUCCAAUGGUUGUUGUUGAUUAAACUCAUUGAUGUUGAGUUGCUGCUGGAACAUGUUUGGGUCUAAUGGCUGCAUCAAUGAACCCUCAAACUGGCUGGGGUUUGUCAUUCCCUCACCAGCUGCCACCUUAAGUCGGUUGACUUCAGCGAUGCUCUUCAUUUAGCUUCAGUUGAGAGUAGUCUGCAGCCUCUUGUUCAUUUGCCUCUUUUUCCAGCCUUUCGAUUUCUGCGCACAAUUUAUUUUUUCUAGGGUAUGUCUAUCGAGUUUAUAAUAUAUAAAACUUUAUGUGACGUCUUUUUAUACAAACAAUAACGUUCUUAAGAUUGUUGUUUGUAUCAAGACGCCACAAACUGUUUUACUCGCUAGGAUACUAUUACUAAGAAAACAUAUGUAACAUCCCGAUUUCAAGAAUAUGGUGGUGCAUGCGUAGAGGUUUAAAAGAAUUGAUUUGGCUACCUAUGUCACCAAAGUGCACCUAUCUAUUUGGUCAACUGUCCUGAGAGAAUUCCACAGUUAAGCGUGCUUGGGCUGGAGCAAUUUCAGGAUGGGUGACCUUCCGGGAAGUGAUUGUCGAAACCGUGUGAGUGAGGCCAAAACACGGGGAAAGAUAAUGUGGUGAUUUGUAGUGUCGGUAAACAAAUCUUUAAAGCCUCCCGGACUUAGCGAAUCGACCGUCAGAAAGGCAUGGGGCCUACGGGCUCGAGAGAGGAUGUGGGUGCUCAUUAGUAGGGGCGGUCGGGGCGUUACAAGUGGUAUCAGUGCCGAACCAUGGCGAGUGUGGAGUCAAGAAGACUCACACCGUCGGGGGUGACGAUCUUGCUGUGCAAUGAGGACGUUGCGAUUUGUUAGUGUGGGUGAAUUGUAACACCAUGGUUUCAGGAAUAUCGUGGUGUAUGUGUAGAGGUUUAAAAGAUUUGAUUUGACUACCUAUGUCACCAAAGUGUACUUAUCUUUUCGAUCAACUGUCCUGAGAGAACUCCACAGUUAAGAGUGCUUGGGCUGAAGCAAUUUCAAAAUGGGUGACUUUCCAGGAAGCGAUUGUUGGAACCGUGUGAGUGAGGGUAAAACACGGGGAAAGAUCAUGUGGUGAUUUGUAAGGUCGGUAAACAAGUCUUUAAAGCCUCUCGGACGUAGCGAACCGAUCGUCGGACAAGCGUGGAGCCUACGGCCCGAGAGAGGACGUGGGUGCUCACUGGUAGGGGUGGUCGGGGUGUUAUAACAUAAGGGAGGUUUAUUAACAUUCUUUUUAUUUUUUUCCCCCAAGUUUCUAGAGCAUAUCCUAGCUGAGAAAAACAUCAAAAACUUCUUGAACAUUGAUGCCGACACUCGUGGACCUUCUUGAAGUCCCUGGAUUGUGGACUUCAUGGUGGCCUUAAAACCAACAUUAAACCAAAGAUCAACGUCUGAGAUUGAAAUAAUCUCGAGAGAAAAUAGUUUCAACCGGGCCUUGUGGCCUAGUGGUAAAGGGGUCACAGCUGUGACUUCCGCCACCAGGGUUCGAGGCAAGGCCACUGGCAGGUUUACAUAGGGGAAUUGCCAGCCUCGUGGGAUUAGUCCUUGGGCCUAGAAAGCCUUUGGGAGACCCGCGGUUAUUCAAAAAAAAAAAAAAAGUUUCAUAAACCUAGUCUAGCCUGAGCAAAAUAACGCUUCACAACUUACGUGCCACUAUGUACUUUUUCAACAUAGGUAAAUCCAGGUCUAAUUUGAGAAGAACCAAGUUUCAGUAAAACAUAAAUAUAUAUAUAUAUAUAUAUAUAUAUAUAUAUAUAUAUAUAUAAUAUUUGGAGUGAUCAAAUUUACGACCGAAUAUCCGAAUUUUAACGGAUAUGCGGACAUCAGAUAUCCAAUAAACGGCAUAGUGGAUAUAGAUCAGAAAGUCAUUAUCCGUACAGAACCGAUCACGAAUAGCUUAUAAAUUUUGAAUAUCCACUAUGCGUCCAGACUUAAUAUAUAUUUAAAGCUUAUAUGCAAUAAUAGAAAAGUAUUGGCAACUUAAAGAAAAGAAGAAUAACACUUUCUUUUGAUAUGUAAAACUUAAGACUCCAUCUUUUUUCUGAUAGAAGGCAAAAAAAAAACAAUUUUGCCAAAACUACAAUACACUGAUUUUAAAAGACAAAAAAUAUAAUAAAAUCUAAGUUGAUUGAUAAGUUGCAUCAUUUUUCUGGUGAUUAUUUUGGAGCAAUUAUUUUCCAAAGUAUUGAAUAUAAAAUAUCUAAAAUGUUUAAAUUAAUUUACAAUUUGUUAGCUUGAUUGAUUUAUCUAAUUUAAAAGCCUAUAUAAUAGUUCAUACACCGAUUAGAAAUAAGCCAGUUACAAUAGAAAAAAUCAACAGGUAAAACUAACCUUUAGUGUAUGACAUCGAUGUUACCCAUCAUAUACAGUACGAAGAUAUAAGAUAGUAAUCAUCGGACUAUUUCGGUUGACCUCGGCUAUGUUUACCGUCAAACCAAAUCUCGGAAACUCUCUCUUUUGCGACGGUAAUGCAAUAUUCCUAUUCAAGAGUCGUCACAAACAAAAAUUUGUAGAAUAUGUUUUGCUCUCGAUUAAUACGCCAUCUCGAUAUUCUUUCAAGCACUGUGACAACCCUUAAUACACCGAUGAAAGAACUUUUCAAUACAAGCUUUGGCGGAGAAAACGAAGAUUUUUUUUAGUUGUUG